GUUAUUUUAUAAAGUAAUAAAUACUAAUUUGAAAGUGUUUUUUAUCCAUUUACAUAAAAUCUAUGAAAUAUAUAAAUAUAAGGAGACUCAAACACCAUAAUUACAAUUUCAAUCAAAAUAUCAUUAGUUUUACAAAAAUUAUAAGUAUAAGAAAUUUCAUCACGUACAUAUGCAUAUGAAAAUUACGUAUUUAGAAUAUAAGUACGCGUUUAAAAAUAACAUAAAGUAAAUAAUGAAAUGCUGGAAACUAAUUAUAGUAACACACACAAUAUGUACAAAUUUAAAAUAAACAAAUUAGUUUAAAUUAUGAGUAAAAUUAUAUUUAAAUAGGUAAAUACAUUAGAUUAAGAAUAUUAAAUAUACCCUAAUUGUUUAUAAUGAUAUUGUCAUUUUUUUUAAAUACUAUCAAAUUAAUCCAUGACACCGAUUUAGUCAAACUAUUCAAUAAUAGUAAGACAACCGAAACAGUUUGUGUAAUAAAUUAAAAUGCAUAAAUAUAUUAGAAUAAAGCUUUGGUUGAAGUUGUAAUUUUUUUUUUAUAAAUGUUGGUGAUGUUGGUUUUAAUCUCAAUAAUUAUAUUUUUUUCAUUUGUUUAUUUUAAAUAAGAAAAAGAUAAUAACUACCUCAUAAUAAUAUAAUUUAUUUAAAAUAUGUAAAAUUAUUUUAAUAAUUUUAUUAAUUAACUCGUGCCACUAAUUUAUAUAAUAGAUAUAUAAAUAAUAUAGGUGAAACAAAUUGUAUAAUAGAAUUAAAAUAUAUAAAAAUAUUAAAAUUAAAUGUUAGUUGAAAUAGUAUAUUUUUAUAAAUGUUCGUGAUAUAUUUUCAAAUAUUAAUAUUAAUAUUUUUAUUUUUAUUUAUUUAAAAAACAAGAGUAUUAUAAUAAUAUAAUUUAUUUAAAAUAUAUAAAAUUAUUUUAUUAAAUAAAUCAAAUUCGAGUUAAUUCGUACUGUUAUAAAAAAAAAAUCACCCGUUGAGUGCGAUAAUAAUUUAAAACAGCAAAGCACCCAUCCUAUGGUCUAUUGGUUACGAAUGAAUUAAUAAAUGGGUUACGGAAGAAAGAAAAAAGAAGGAAAAAAAGGGCGUAAACUGCAAAGCCUAUGCUAUGAAAGGCUCGAGAGUUGAAAGAGAGCUAUUGCAAUAAUACAAGGGGGAAGGGAUUGGAUUUGGAAGGGAGCGAGCGUUUUUAACUUUUCAGGUCAUCCAACUGCUACACGUAGAUGCCGUAAGCACCUAAUAAUAUAUUUCAACCCACACGCAAUCCCCCUCGCCCCCUCCCUCCGUUCUCUCUCUCCGCUGCAACCCCAAACAAAUACAACACCGUUGCACGACAUUCAAAGCCCUUCUUUCUAACCCAUCUCUCCACUUCCCUCCACUCCAUUAUAUUAUUCUUUUAUUUGUUAUUUUUAUCAUAUAAAUAAAUAAAAAGAAAGUUGAUCCUUUUUUUUCUUCCUUUCUACUUAAUUUUUGCUUAGUGAACAUUGAAGGCUUUACUCAUUUGGGAUGAACUAAGGUAAGAAGUUUUCAUGGGUACCUUCAGUUUUUUGUUAUUGUUCUUGAUCGUUUCUUUGUUAUGUUGUUUAGUUUAUUUUCUUUGUUGCCUAGGAAAAUCAGAUAGAACUAUAAGGUGUUAAAAAUUUGCUCCUUCCCAUGUUUGAUGAUUAAGAACGAAUUCAUAAAGAUAAAGUUCAUUUUUUUUCUUUCUGGGUAUCUUUUUUUUUAUGCUGAAAAGUAAAACCUUUUUGUUUUAUUAUUAAUGAUGAACUGAUAGUAAUCUGUUUUUUUUUUCUUCUGCCUCUGCUUCUGUUUUGUCGAUUCAAUUGUUUCGCAGUAACUAAAGUUCAGUUCUCUUUGCGCGUGUCCUGUUUUCUUCUCCAAUCCUCCAAGCUCAUGCUCGAAAACCCAUUCCAUUUGAUCUCAAGUUGACCCUUUUAUUCAAUCUUAAUCAUAUAUAUAAAGUCUUUUACCCAAAUGGACGUUAAGCUCUGGCACGACAAGUGGGAGGGAGAAAUGUAUAAAACUGUCGUGGAGUUGUAUGCCAUUAUCAAAACAACUGAGAAGCUUGGGAAGAAGGCUUAUGUGAGGGAUAUUAUUUUCUCAUCAUCUGAAUAUGAAACUGAGUGCCAAAAGCUUAUUUCCCAUGUCCCUAGCAUUAAAUGUUCUGCAGUUACAUAUAAAAUAAAUCGUCUGGAGACCUAUGGGGUGCCUGCCAUUGCUGCAUCUGCUACUUCCUCUGCUGCCGUUGUGGCCGAAUGCGUGCUGAAUUUCGUUACUGCCAUCAUCGAUUCUCUGAAACUCAAUAUGGCGGCAGUUGAUCAAGUGUAUCCUCUGUUGCCUGAUCUCGCAGCAUCACUUGAUAAGCUUGGUAUUUUGCCACCUGAUUUCAAAGGGAAGAUGAAGGAAUGGGUUUCAAGGUUGUCGAACAUGGAGGCCGCUCCAUGACUUGGAACCUUCAUAUGAUACAUUAUAGCUGCUUUGUCCAUUGCUAGUGCUCGGAAGCGAUCCAAACAUACAGUUUUUUUAUUUUUUUCAAGUGUUGCUAACGGCUGGAGUCUUCUCAGUGAUAUCCGUAAAGCUGAUAACAGCAUAUAAAUCUUGGCAAUUAUAUGGUUGUUAAGUUUCUGCUGAUCACGGAGAAAAUAUUUAUGGGGUCACUUGUGAAAACCAAAUCCUGCUUUGAUUUUGUUUUGUAUUGUAAUUGCUGGGAAUUUUCAAUUAAAGUCAAUGUGGUUCAUGUCGUUUAAUAUAAGAUGUUUCGGACUUGUAGCUUAGAUAUGGUCAAAGAUUUAACCUUUCCAGAAUUCUUGACACUUUCAAAAAUCAAACCUACAUAAUUUUCAGUUCACUAGCAAAUAGCAAUCCUCCGCCAUCAAAUCAUUGGAGGUUUCGAAGAUUACACUCCAAACUCCGUUACUCCUACGCACAUUUUUUCAAGCAUGAAAUAUGGUAGGCAAGCCAAGACAACAAAACAAUAUGAAAUCCACCAGAAUGCAAUGCAAUUCAUUGGCAGGCACUUGAUUUACAUCUUCAAAAUUCUUCUAGAUCUGUAGCAGGGGAGAGCUCCUGAAAUGAACUACCUUAGCGUCAGCCUCAAUAUAGAGAGGACAUUAGCUUCUUAUACCUCUCUUCUUUUAUGUAGUCUGUAAUGAACAAUGCCGAUGCAGAUGUGUGAAACCAAAAACUGUACCGCCAUCGAUAGUUCAUUCCUUGAUAAUGGUCAAAUGCAACUUAAUGCAUUGAUCUUAACCAGUGGCUGACGUGGAUGCAGAUGUUUUAAUGGAGAAAACUGGAUGGUCCCUGUCAAUAUCUUGAUGACUGUCUCCGAGAUUGACACUGUUGCUAAUUUUUUCUCCUUCUGGGCCACCACCUGGUUGUGUCUGGCUGACUUCUGAAUUACUGUUACCACCUGAGGUCAACGUGCUUUGCUGUCUAAGGUAUUUGUCUGUAUCAUCUUGAAGCAAUCUCAUCAUGCUGCCAGAAUCAGAACCAGGUGACAACUCUUCUUCCCGCUCUGGCUGGAUGUUCAAGUCAAUUUGGCCUUUAAAGGGUGAAAUUGAGGAUUUUACUCUAUUAGGAUCAUCUUCUGAACCCUCGCUGGCAAUCUUUAUCUGCUUUGGACUGCUAUUUUCUGCAUUAGUGCAAGGCGGAGGGUCAUCAUCCGGUACUUUAUCAGGCAACGAAGUUUGCUGCUUCUUGCUAGUGGUUUCAGCUUCUUUUUGUGACUGUUUCUUCUCACGCCGCAUCAUGAGGGUGCGGAAGCGUCUCUUCACUGUUUCACAGACAUUACAAGUACAUGUCUGCUUGUGUUUGGGGCCUUUCCCACUCGGGGGUUGAAUGCAUACGAUGCAUGAGCAGCCAGGUCUGUGUCGGGGGUGCUUUGUGGUGGCCUGAGAUGAUGUAGGGAGAGAUUCACCCUCUCCCAAGAUAGCUAAGUUCGCAAGGGUGUCAAGCCCCUCUAAAGCAUCAACGUUCUCCGUUUCCUGUCUAGCAGCCUUAAUUUUCUUUGAAGCAGCUGUCAACCACAACCAAUUUGCUAAGUUCAUAAUGGUAAUAAACUAAAAGAACAAUCUUUUUACCCAAAAAUCAAUCAAAUUCAUGCAUAAUUUACUCCAAGCCAGUCAUACAAAACCUACGUAUUUUGUUUUCUUCAAGCAACAAAUACCUGGAUUACAUUGUGGCAGCAGAUUUUCCAGCUGUUCGGCAGUCAAUUCUUGAAUGACUGAACAAGAAGAUCUGCCAACAUGGUAGAAAAAGAAAGUGUUGAUGCCAUGCCCACACAAAAAAACUAAAUUUUGAGCUUUUCAUUUUUUUUCCAUGGUUCUUUUUCCUUCAAUUUUGUUUUUGACAAGUUGGGAUUAAUUCAUUUGGUUGCAGAGUUAAACAGUACAUUCAUGGUAAUGCGGAAAUGAAAAUGUACGACUGUUGAUAGAGAACAACAAUCAAAUGUGUGCUUACCUUUCUGGAUCCCAUGAGUUACUGGAACAGGUCCAUUUGGAAGGAAGAAGAACAUUGGAAGGCAAUCUACGCCACUUAAAACAAUCUUCGCAUUGAGCCCAUUGAAUCUUUUCCCUGACAUAAAAAACACAGGGAUUGGUAUUUGCUUUCAUUUAAGACAUCUAUUCCUUCCUAUAUAAUAAGCUAGCAAUGUAAAUAUUUCAAUAUUUGCAUAAACCCACCAAUAUUUCAACAUUAUUCAGGAAGUUUACAGCCAAGUAUUAAGUUAAUCAACUGUUCUUUAAUAUAGGCCUGAGCAUCUAAAAGAAAGUGAGUUACCCCAUAUUAUCAGUAGCAAAUAUUGUUGGCUUCCCAAGAAUCGGUGCAUCCUGUUAUUAACAAACACAACAAAAUUGAGAAACUUUGGAAUGAUUACAGAGAAGGAAAGAGAGGAUCCGAGGAUCCCCCAGAAAGGAUAGAAUUUGCAGAAUAUACAAGCAUCAAAAUACUACUAAUAGGCAACCUAAAAAUAAUAAAUUGAUUAAUUAAUAAACAUCACAUUAUAGCAAAAGAACAGUGAACAGUGAAUGAAGGAAAAAAGCUUGACGAAGGCCAGAAUGAGAAAGAAUGAAAUUGUUCUUCUGGUUCUGUGAUGGCAUCCAUAAAUAGCUAAUAGUAUAAAAAGUUCUUCAGCUAUAAGUCUUCAUCAAGGGAGUAUCAACCAUGGAACUUCUAAGAUAACCACGUUAAAGUUCAAUUUUCCACAAACGAGUAACAGACACUACAAUGACAAUAUAAGAGGCUUAUACUGCUGCCAGUAAUAACCAAAAGCAAUUUCAAUCACAACAGAUUAAAUGUGCUCAGGAAAGAAACAGAAUAAUGAAGAUAUACCGUACCUCGUAUUCUUCAAACUCAAAACCUUCAAUGACUACAACACUAGCUACAUGAUUAGGAGGCGGACGAAGCAGCCCUUGAGCUUCUUCCCAUGUUAGUUUCAGCUCUAUAAGGUCUUCAUUAUCAAUUCUAAGGCGCUUACUCUUUGAACCUAGCAUGCUAUUCUUCCUCUUUCUGGAAACUGCAACUUUGGCUCCUAAUGCUUCCUUUGCUAUGUACCCUGACUUAUCAACUUUUGACCAUGAGGUAGGAUCUGCCAUUUCAGCCUGGUUCAUGGAUAAAAGGCUAGGUGAACCUGAGCUAUUUUUUAUUUUAAAUAAUUAAUACUCAAGUAUAUAACAAGUUUUAUGUUUGGAGGCACUAACAUCUCCAUGCAUAGAAACUCCAUUGCUAUUUUUGGCUUCAUUGUCCUGCCAAUAAAAACACACAUAAAUGCAUGUACCAAAGAAUAUGUUUUACCAUAACUAAAGUAUAAUUGUAGCCUGAGAAAAAAAUUAAGAACAAAAGGAACAAAAGCACUCAUAUGAACCAGUUGCGUUGCAUGUCAUCUUAGGUCCAGAGCAUACAGAUGCACAGUCAGAAUAGAUGCACAACCUGAUCGGAUGCUGAAGCAGUUGAAGCCUUUCUGAAACCCAUGACCAACUUCCCUCCAGGCUCUAACCGACUAAAUGUGACUGAGGAAACAACAAAACUAUGAGUUUUAAAAUAGAUGCAAGUACCGAAUAACAAUGAAUGAUCACAAAAAAUAGCCACAGGCUGGUAGAAAUAUAAGGCAAAUGUAAGGGUGUUAAACACACAAUUUCUGGGUAACUAAAAUUUCUAGAGCAAUAGGCAGCAAAAUUUGAACCUGUCUUUUUCAUAUAUGAACUGGUAAAUUCAAGGAGCAACUAAAAGAAACCAGAAAUGCUCCAAAGAAUAUAACUGACAGAGGGAAGGCACAGAAUGGGCUAUAAAUUGAACAUAGCAUAUUUUGGGCCUCAGAACUCAGAAGAUUGAAAUCUCUAAAUCAAUGUUAUUCCAGUGAUAUCAAUUUGUUACCUACGUCACCCGCCUGCACUUGCAUGUUCUGUAUGCAAGGAGUAACCCCCUCUAAAACAUACAUUCUGCUAUUGUUGUUGGGCCAGAAGCGGAAUUGAAAUAUCCAUUCCUUUCCUUUUGAAUCCUGGACUUUAAGAGGUAAACCUUCUGGCUGAGAUAUUGGCGGGAAAUGAGCCUGUCUCAUAAUAAGUGCAUUUUAGUAUGUGAAAAUUUUCUAGGAAACAAUUCAUGAAAAUCUAAUAUAUACUACACAAGGCUCAUAUCCAACUUCAGAAAAAGAAUCAUUGAAUUAAUAACAGUAUAAAACUAGAUCAAAAUGUUUCCCAUAAAUAAAGGUGAGCAAAAAUGCAUAAAGUCAAAAACCUGCUACCUUGCCACAAUAGCAAUCCAGAUAUAGAUGUAAACAAUAUAUAUGUUUAUUGCCAAGCUUUUUAUCAGAAAGCCAUUAAAACAAAAAAUGCUGAUCAAAUCAAAAACUUCUAAGUAGAUUAGACUAAGAGCAAGGACUCACCUCCGCACAUUUUUUUGGUAGCACCAGACGUCCAAUUCGCCCAGCAUCACUAGCACUCAACAUUUUCUCAAACAAAGGAGUGAUUACAGAAUUUGAACUUACAUAUGGUUAAGUUUAACUGAAAAACACUGUAAUUAAAGAACUGACAACAUCAGCAUAUUGGUAUUAAUUGUUACAUAUUCAACAAAUACGUUAGACAAUAAUCCACUUUGAGAGUUAAUAUUACUGGAGGUUUUUUUACAAAAUUGUAAAUAUACCUCUCACAAAAGAAAAAUACCUUUUCUUAGAAGUUUUUAAAGUUAACUAGUUGUGCAGAAUGAUUAAUUAUUGAUAAAUGACCUAGUAUCUUCUGUGCAAUCACAAAUUAUCAAGAAUGCCUUAUAGAACCAAAGGAUACUCUCCAGUUAUUUGCUGCAGGUCUUGGUCAGUAAACCUAGGCCAAUAACGAGGAAAUAAAUUGUUUUUUCCACGGCCAUCUGGUCGAGGCCUCCCAUUUCGAAUCUGAGUUUCACCUGAUGAGUCAGUCCCAUUUUGAAGAUUACUAUGAAAUUGCUUGGCAAGUGGAGGUUGAGGGUUUGGUCGCAAAUGAGUGCCAGAAACUCCAUUUUGACCAUUUGCUUCAUCUGGAGAUGUAUAAGGUACAGCUAAACCAAAUUGUGGAUUAGAUUCCUCCUUUAGAGAAGACUGAAAUUUAGUCAAACAUGGAUUAUGCUGUUCCUCGCAAUUGAUUCCUGGACAACAAAUGGUUCACAUGAGUUCAGUAGCCACCAAUAAGUUGUUUUCACAAACAAUUUAUGCAGAACAAAGUGUAUGUCCAAGCAUCAGAGGUGACAUCCACAUAUUACAUAUGCAAGCAUUAAUGUUCCUACAUAUAUGUUUCUUAAGACUACCAUGAUUGAUACAAGGAAAAUUUUAUGAACCUGCACUUCCCUUCUCAUGUAUAUCCCGAGUUCCAGGCUUCAAGGUUCCAUUCAUUAACCUUUCAGAGAAGUCCUCGACUUUCUUCUUUUCCAGGGAAGGAGUGGAUAAUCUGUCGCAGACAUUUAAUCUGUCAAUGCCAGUGGAUAAGUCAACUUCAUAGGGCAUUCUAGAGUGCAACUCAGGCUGAGGAACUGGAUAAUUGAACAAACUCGGUGCUUGCCGCCAAGGUACAGGGCCUGAACCAGCUAACUGAGUCCAGCCUUUUGCAGAAUACUCUUUAAAUCUCUCAGACAAAGAUGAAUGGAAAAUCAAAGACGGUGACCAGGAAGAACUUGAUCCCUGAGAUAGAAUGUCAAACAACAGGGUUUAUAGCAUACAACACAGCCAAGGAAUGCUAUUUACUAGGAAAUACAGGUCAAAGUCGCAAACCAUAAGUUGGAAGUAAGAAAACAUCAGCUAGGAAAAAGAUGUCUUUUGCUCAAAUAUGAUAAAAAGGUAAUUAGAAAUGACAGAUUACGGCCCUUUUCUUAAAAGUAACAACUCCAAUAUUAAGUCUAAAAAGGGAUUCUGGAAUAGGUACAUCAGAAUAGCAUAGUAAUGUUAUCCAAGCUCACCAUAACAACAUUUUUCCUCGCACACGCUACGCAUUCUAUUCCUCCAGCAUCCAACAAAGUAAACGCAUGAACUGAAACAAUGCAUCCGCAAUGAACCCGCUGCAGAGACAUAACGAUAUUAAGCAAAGGUAAAUUCAACAAAUAAAUCUAAAACCGAAACUAGAGAAGAUCAAAGAACACAUUCAGCAUCACAGCACCAAACUAUAGCAAAUAAAUCAACAUUUAUAAAUGUUUCUAACUAACCUUCCCACAUGACUCACAGGUCCUCCAACCAGAAGCAUUCAAGUGAAAAGUAUCACAAAAUCUUCCCUCCUCAAAAGCAAAACUAAAGCCACAAUGAGCUUAAUUCAGAUUACAACAUGGAAAACAAUUAAGCAAUCUUGAUUCACUUUUAAGACUCCGCAUUAAAAAAAAUCUCGAUUAAGUCAAUCAUUUUGAAAAUCUAAAUCAAGUCAACAAAAUUUCCUAAAUUAACCUACGGGAUAACCGUAAAUGGACAAUAGUUCUGCAAACUUAAUUUCAAAUUAAAUUACAGCAAAUAAAUUGAAAAAAAAAUAAACAAAAAAAACGGCUAAAAACGAAGUCAACAGAAUCUCAAGAAAAAGUGAAACCCACGCGCAUCGAUCACAGAGCUCAGCGAACUCUCCCGUUCGCAACCGCCAGCCUUUCCUCGGUAUUUCCGAUUUCAAGUCCUUGCAGUCCGAAUUGAAGCAAAUCUUUGAAGACGAAGCUGCUCCUGGAGUUGACGUCAUCUUAUUAUUACCUUUUUUUUUUUCCUUUCAAAAUUUCAAAAACCCGCACACUUGGAUUCUAAAGCUUCUUAUCUUCAUGAAAAAACACCGAAAAAAGAAGAAGAAAAACUUGAACAAAAAACCGUAAAAAAACGGAUGGUUAGAGGCUGAUCUGCAUAAUCAUGAGAAACAAAAGAGAAAGGAAAGGGGUUAAAAGAAAGGGAUUUUAGAGAGAGGAAGAGUAAAAUUUAAGUGAGAGAGAGAGAUGAAAAUCAGAGAAUAAAAAGAUAGUAAAUGGAUUUUUAUAUUGUAUAUAAUAAUAAACAAACGAAUGGUUUUUUUAAAAUACAUAUAAAAAUGCUUUUUUUACACAAUAAACUGGUUUUAAUAUUUAGUAAUUCUACCACAAUUUAUUCUUCAGUAUUUAUUAUUUAUAAAGUAUAUAUAGUGCCGUGAGGUCAGAGACACUUACAAAAUUGAUUAAAAAAUAAAUAUUUAGAAGUACACAUAUCUACUCGCUUAAAUAAAUUUCCACUUAAAAAUAAUAUUUUUUUUUAAAUAUAUUUUUCAUCUAUUCUCCAAAAAAUAUGUUUAUAUAUAUAUAAUGUCGUGUUUCUAAAAUCUGAAAUUCAAUAAAUAUUGAGGCUUAUACUCAAAAGACACGUCGAGUCCGUGGCCUCUCCUAUCUUUGGCGUCGUCGUGUUUUUUUAUGGUUUUGCUUAUAUGUUGUCAAAUUUUGGAUAAAACUUGAUAUUCUUUUUUCAUAUUUAGUUUUGAGGGGUUUUGACUUGUCUUGGACGUGUAAGUUGUUUUACAAAAUUACCCCUCCGAAUAUGAGGAAAUUGAAAACCAAGAUUCCUCACCAUUUAUUGCAAGCUUUUACUUAUAUAUUCGAUGGGAGUGGACAGUAAAGAGUAAAAUAGCCGAAAAGUUGAAUAUUGAUUUAUUAUUAUCUGUAUAUCAUUUUAUUAAUAUUUAUUAUUUUUAAAAUGUAUAGUUUUUAUUUUAAUUGUAUUGAAUAUUUAAAUUUAUUUUCUUAAUCUGCGUUAUAUAAAGGAAUAAAUAAUUAACUUUAUUAUAAAAAUAAAUAUUUAAAUUUAAUUAAUUUAAAUGAUGCAAUGACAUUUCUAAUUAAAUCAUAAUGUUGUUGGAAUUAGGCUAAUUAAAUUAAGAAUCGGCUAGUAAAUUGAUUUGGAAUUUUUUUUUUGAAUUAGUUUUUAAGCGAAUCACUCGAAACAAAUAUAAAAUUAGAAGUCAAGGUAAAAAACAACGGUUAAAUUAUUUAUAACUUUUUUUAUUGAUUAUUAUGAAUUUUUAAUUGUUAUUGGACAAAUAUUCACACUAAUCAAACUUAAAUCCGGUGAUUUGAAUAGUUAGACCAUCAUCAAUCUGAUAAUAUUGAUUAGUUGAAUAAAAAUUUAAAUAGUAAAUAAAUAAUAAAUUUUUUUAUACAAAAUUGUGGUGGAAUAACAAGGUUUUUUAUUUAACUCUUUUUCUAAGAUUAAUUGUUUUAGUUACUACGAUUAGCUAUUAACCAUAAAUUUUGUUAAGUGAAUCAAACACCGAUUUGAAUGGGUUUGAAGAGGGGUUUUUUGGUCACUGCAAAGGAUUUCUAUAUGGCAAUGGGGGAAAUCAUGCAUGGCCCGCCGCCAGGGUCAUGCAUUGUUCACGUAACACAUGCUUUAUUUUCUCUAACACGCGCUUUUCCGGCAUUUCUUUUUCCACUCUUGUUUUGAUUUAUUACUUUUUGUAAUAUCGGUCCAAAAUUUCUUGUUUUAUACGUUUUAGUACCUGCAAUUUUACUAUAUUUAUCUACAUUCAUUGAAAAGGUGUAUAUGGAUUGGGUGGAAUGCAAGCCAUCUCUAAAGUUGGUUUUAAUAUUCAAAAUACUAUUAAAAUUUUGUAGUAUUAAAAAAAUUAUAAUUAAAUUUAAAUAUUUUUUUAUUACUCAUAAAUGAUUUCAAGUUUUGUCACACUUAUAAAUUUGUCUAAUCCAAAACAUUUCUUCUUUUAAUAACUAAAUUUAGAUUUGUAUUUUGUGAGCCUUAACUUAGGUGACAUUGUUGCUAUUACAAUCAUUAAGAGAAUGUGUAUUAGAGUGUGCUUAAGUACAUAGUUAAAUGCAAUGUCUAUAUUUCUUUCCCUCGUUUUAAUGAAAAUUCUCGCAAGAUUUCGUGUAAAAUUUUUUAGAACAUGAUUGUUUUUCUCCUUCAUCAUUGUAACACCAAAAGUUACCAUAUUCUCAAAUAUUGGCGGUAAGGAUGAUCCAAUGUAUAAUGUUACUAUAGUAUUAAUUGAAAUUUUUACAAAAUUUAAAGGAGGUUAAAUAGUACUUUUUUUUUUUGGAAACCAAGGCUCUUAUUUAUUUUCUUAUUUCAAUUCUGUGCUCAAAUAUCGAUAAAGAUCUACCUUUAAAGCAACUACCAUUGUAACACCCCUAUACCCGGUUCGACCCAAUGAACCUGAUAUAGGAAUAUUACAUCUGGUGCCAAAAUAUUUUGGCUAAUCACUAAUAUAUUUGAACAUUAAAAAAAUAAAGGUUUCAUAACUUAUAUUUUAGUCCCUACUACUUAGAACACACUUGAUCUUCCUAAGUACAUGUCAUUCUAUUCAAAAUUUUGAAACAUACCCUCUUAGCACUUGGAGAUGUGAUGAGAUGGUUGUCCACGACAUCAACUACGACUCUUCAAAAUUACUUUACCUACGCGUUGAAAAUAAACACGUUAAGUCAGUGAAUACUUAGUAAGUACCAAUGAUAUUUAAAUUCUAUUAAAUUUCUUAAUUUCUAAUAUCUCGUUUCUUUGUUUAUGUUAUAAUUAAAUGACCUAAAUCCUUAUUUAAAUAAAAUACAGUGGUAAAAUAAAAUAAAAGUAAAAUCCAUAUAAAACUACACUUCUUUUAUUUUAUUUUAGAACAAGGUUUUUUAAACCUUAUUAAAAUUCAUCUAUUUUAUAUUGAUUAGAAUAAGGUGUUUCAAUCUUACUAGAAUAUGACUUUACAAGCCUAUAAAUAGACAUAUUCUAUUCCUCUUGUAAUUAUUCGAAUUCGACAUAAUGAAUUUUCUUCUCCUCUGCCCGUAGUUUUUUUCCCGAAAAGGUUUCCACUUAAAAUCUAUGUGUGUUCUUUAUUUUAUUUUAUUUUUUUAUUUUUAUUUUAUUUUCAAAAAUUGGUAUCCGAGCUUCUGGGUAGUUCAUCUCGAUCAUGGUAAUGGCGUCUUUGAAGUAUGAAAUUUUGUUGUUGGAUUGCAACACCAAAUUUGCGUUGUGACAAAUUAAGAUGCAAGUAGUUCUUGCGCAGAUGGAUCUGAAGGAUGCCUUACUAGGGAUAGACCAGAUGCCUUCAACAUCAACAGAUGAAGAGAAGAAGCGUAAGGAUCGAAAGGCGUUAACACAAUUACAUCUGCAUUUGUCCAACGAAAUUUUACAGGAUGUGAUGAAGGAGAAGACCGCCGCUGCAUUAUGGAAGAGGCUGGAACAAAUAUAUAUGUUGAAAACUCUAACAAGCAAGUUGCAUAUGAAACAAUGUCUUUAUGCUCAUCGUUUGGAAGAAAGUGCGUCUAUACACGAAUACUUAACAGUGUUUAAAGAAAUUCUCUUAUACUUGGAGGCCAUGAAGGUUCAGUAUGAUAAGGAAGAUCUAGGGUUGAUUCUACUUUGUUCGUUGCCCCCGUCUUAUUCAACCUUUAGAGACACAAUUUUAUAUAGUCGCGAGUGUCUCACAGUUGAUGAGGUUUAUGAUUCUUUGACCCCGUAUGAUAAGAUGAAAAAUCUUGUGGUUAAACCCGACUCUCAGGGAGAAGGUCUCAUUAUUUGUGGGAGACAAGAUCGGAAUGCUGAUGAUGAACGUGGAAGGAUACAAGAACGGAAUCCUCGCGGUAAAUCUAAGGGUAGAUCGAAGUUUUCAAACAGAGGUAAAACUUGUAACUUUUGCAAGAAGAAAGUGCACAUUAAAUCUGAGUGUUAUAAGCUAUAGAACAAUAUUAAAAGGGAGGCUGCGAAUCAAAAGGGAAAACAACUAGAAAAUUUCAGUGAAGCUAAUGUUGUAGAAGAUUACAGCGAUAGUGAACUUCUAGUCGCUUCUGUCAACAAUUCUAAAGUGAGCGAUGUAACGACCUAAUUUUCAGUGGUGUCGAAAAUGGUGAUUUGAGAUCACUAAAUUCGACAAAUAAGAUUGAACAAGAUAGUAAUUUAAUAUUUAUGAGUCAAAUAAGAAUUUAGAAGAAUUUGUGAAAUGGUGAAAUUAGUGAAUUAAAAGAAUUUAUUAGGUCAAACGGGUCAAAAAUGAGGUAUCGAGACCUCAAAGUUAAAAAUCGAGCUAUAAAUAUUUUUAUAAAUAUUUAUGGAGUGUCAUUGAGUUAGUAUUAAAGUUUCGUUAGAAAAUUUUAACGUUUGGAUGGCUAAUUAAUUAAAAAGGACUAAAUUGAAAAUAGUGCAAAAUUUGUUAAAUUGUGAGUAAAUAGCUUAAGUAUUUAAAAAGAUGGAUUUAAAGAGCAAUUAGACCCAAAGGUUAAUGGCUGGACGGUUUGGGUAUGAAAUAAGCAAGAAAACAAUGUGAACAAGGGGCAAAAUUGGAAAUAGCAUAAAAGUUAAUAGUUAAAUAAUGAUAAUUGAAAAAUCUAGACAUUUCUUCAUAUUUUCUCAGCCAAAACGUCAUAGAAGGGCUGGAGAAAGCUGGUUUUUCAUAUUUUUACAUCAUGUGAGUUUAAUUCUUACUUUUCUUGAUAAUUUUUAUGUUUUUAUGACUUUUACAAUUAGGUCCACUUGUAGAAUUCAUUAGUUUUUGAUUUUAUGGGUGAAAUUGGAAGUUACCCUGGAUGGAUAAGGGAAUUUUAUGAUGAAUUAUUAUGAAAUUUAAGUUCUAAUUUCAUAUUAAGGUGGUUUUAUUAAGUGAUUUUGAUAGGAAAUGACAUUUAGGACCUAAUUGUGAAAAAGUUAGUUUAUAAUGAUAAAAUAAAGUGUUAAUUGAGAAAAAUUAGUUCAAUUGAUGGGUGAAUUGAGCAGGGACUAAAUUGUGAAAACUGUAAAUUUUAGGGUAAAAGUGCAAUUUUGAAAUUUGAACAACAUAAAUUGUGAAGUGAAAUAGAAUUGAAAUGGAUGCUAAUGAAGGAAUGAUUUUAUAAUUAUAGAUCAAGAAAACGAACUGAAUCGUGGAAAGGAGAAAAUUCAAGAAUAGUCCCUAAAUUUCUACGACUUUUGCAAAUUAGUCCAGGUAAGUUCAUAUGGCAAAGUUCAAUGUUUUGAUAUGAAAAUCUUAUGAUUGUUAAAGUAUUUUAUUGUUGAUGAAUACUAUCAAUUUGCAUUAACUAAUGAAUAAUGUGUAACUAAAAGUACAAAUUAGUAGGAACAAUGGAUUUGAGUGCUUCUAUUCUGUGACCCUGAUGAAUUGACGAAAAAUAUGUGAUAAGUGUGCCCGUUUAAGACCGUAGCUGGGCUAUGGCAUCGGUGCAAUGUGAUAAUGUGACUCCGUAUAAGACCAUAGCUGGGCUAUGGCAUCGGUAUAAUGUGAUAAUGUGAUUUCGUAUAAGACCAUGUCUGGGAUAUGGCUUCGGUAUGAUAUGUGAACCGUGUAAGACCAUGGCAAGGCUAUGGCUUCGGUGUGUGAUGCGUAACAAUGUGAAAGUCCAUAGUUUACUAUGGCAAUGUGAUAAUGAAGCACUCAAUUCCCUUAUUGUUCCUUAAAUUGACAAUGAAGUAAAUGAGAAAUGGGCCUAAGGGAGUUAAAUUGUGAGUAGCCAUAUGGAAAUUAUUCCAAUAAGUUAUUAAUGAAGUUGUGAUUUGGAGGAUGAAAUAGUUAAACUAAUAGAUAUAUGAUUGUGUACGAUAUUUGAUAUGAUUUGUGUUUAUAUGCCUAUGAGCUUACUAAGCUUCAAUAAGCUUACUUGUGUGUGUUUAAUAUUUUUAUGUAGAUUGACUUGAAGUGAAGUGGGUAGAUCGGAUCAACACAACAGGGCACACUAUUCAGAUCAAUUCUGGUAGUUUUUGUUUUAUGUUUAAAGAUUUAUAUGGCAUGUAUAGAGUUUGAAUGUAUUGAAGUAAAGAUGUUAUAAACUAGUUACAAUAUUUCUCAUCAAAACAAGACCUUCAGACAUUAUAACAUCUUUACUUCAAUUCAUUCAAACUCUAUACAUGCCAUAUAAAUCUUUAAACAUAAAACAAAAACUACCAGAAUUGAUCUGAAUAGUGUGCCCUGUUGUGUUGAUCCGAUCUACCCACUUCACUUCAAGUCAAUCUACAUAAAAAUAUUAAACACACACAAGUAAGCUUAUUGAAGCUUAGUAAGCUCAUAGGCAUAUAAACACAAAUCAUAUCAAAUAUCGUACACAAUCAUAUAUCUAUUAGUUUAACUAUUUCAUCCUCCAAAUCACAACUUCAUUAAUAACUCAUUGGAAUAAUUUCCAUAUGGCUACUCACAAUUUAACUCCCUUAGGCCCAUUUCUCAUUUACUUCAUUGUCAAUUUAAGGAACAAUAAGGGAAUUGAGUGCUUCAUUAUCACAUUGCCAUAGUAAACUAUGGACUUUCACAUUGUUACGCAUCACACACCGAAGCCAUAGCCUUGCCAUGGUCUUACACGGUUCACAUAUCAUACCGAAGCCAUAUCCCAGACAUGGUCUUAUACGGAAUCACAUUAUCACAUUAUACCGAUGCCAUAGCCCAGCUAUGGUCUUAUACGGAGUCACAUUAUCACAUUGCACCGAUGCCAUAGCCCAGCUAUGGUCUUAAACGGGCACACUUAUCACAUAUUUUUCGUCAAUUCAUCAGGGUCACAGAAUAGAAGCACUCAAAUCCAUUGUUCCUACUAAUUUGUACUUUUAGUUACACAUUAUUCAUUAGUUAAUGCAAAUUGAUAGUAUUCAUCAACAAUAAAAUACUUUAACAAUCAUAAUAUUUUCAUAUCAAAACAUUGAACUUUGCCAUAUGAACUUACCUGGACUAAUUUGCAAAAGUCGUAGAAAUUCAGGGACUAUUCUUGAAUUUUCUCCUUUCCACGAUUCAGUUCGUUUUCUUGAUUUAUAAUUAUAAAAUCAUUCCUUCAUUAGCAUCCAUUUCAAUUCUAUUUCACUUCACAAUUUAUGCUGUUCAAAUUUCAAAAUUGCACUUUUACCCCAAAAUUUACAGUUUUCACAAUUUAGUCCCUGCUCAAUUCACCCAUCAAUUGAACUAAUUUUUCUCAAUUAACACUUUAUUUUAUCAUUAUAAACUAUUUCAAAACCUUUUAUAUUCUUAAUUUCAACAGAAACCUUCAAUUCACAACUUUUUCACAAUUAGGUCCUAAAUAUCAUUUCCUAUCAAAAUCACUUAAUAAAACCACCUUAAUAUGAAACUAGAACUUAAAUUUCAUAAUAAUUCAUUAUAAAAUUCCCUUAUCCAUCCAGGGUAACUUCUAAUUUCACCCAUAAAAUCAAAAACUAAUGAAUUCUACAAGUGGACCUAAUUGUAAAAGUCAUAAAAACAUAAAAAUUAUCAAGAAAAGUAAGAAUUAAACUCACAUGAUGUAAAAAUAUGAAAAACCAGCUUUCUCCAGACCUUCUAUGGCGUUUUGGAUGAGAAAUAUGAAGAAAUGUCUAGAUUUUUCAAUUACAUCAUUAUUUAACUAUUAACUUUUAUGCUAUUUCCAAUUUUACCCCUUGUUCACAUUGUUUUUUUGCUUAUUUCAUACCCAAACCGUCCAGCCAUUAACCUUUGGGUAUAAUUGCUCUUUAAAUCCAUAUUUUUAAAUACUUAAGCUAUUUACUCACAAUUUAACAAAUUUUGUGCUAUUUUCAAUUUAGUCCUUUUUAAUUAAUUAGCCAUCCCAACGUUAAAAUUUUCUAACGAAACUUUAAUACUAACUCAAUGACACUCUAUAAAUAUUUAUAAAAAUAUUUAUAGCUCAAUUUUCAACUUUGAGGUCUCGAUACCUCAUUUUUGACCCGUUUGACCUAAUAAAUUCUUUUAAUUCACUAAUUUCACCAUUUCACAAAUUCUUCUAAAUUCUUACUUGACUCAUAAAUAUUAAAUUACUAUCUUGUUCAAUCUUAUUUGUCGAAUUUAGUGAUCUCAAAUCACCAUUUCUGACACCACUGAAAAUUAGGCCGUUACAAUUAUAGUGAAUAUGUUUGAUGAAGUUGCCAGAACACUUAAUGACGUACAACAUGUUCCAGAAUUGAAAAGAAAUUUAAUUUCGUUAAGUAUUAUUGAUUCAAAAGGUACAGAUACAUGCUGAAAGUGCAGUUUUAAAGAUUUUCAAAGGUUCCAUUGUUGUGAUGAAAGGCCAGAGAAAGACUACCAAGUUAUAUGUUUUGCAGGGUUCUACUGUUAUUGGUGAUGCAGCUGUCGCUUCCUCUUCAUUGUCAAAUGAUGAUAUUACUAAACUUUGGCCUAUGCGCCUAGGGCAUAUGAGUGAGAAUGACAUAGUAGAAUUGAGCAAAAUAGGACUUCUUGAUGGGCAAGGAAUUUGCAAACUGAAGUUCUGUAAACACUGUGUUUUUAGGAAACAAAAGAGAGUUCGAUUCACCAGAGGAAUCCAUAACACAAAGGGAACGUUGGAGUAUAUUCAUUCUGAUCUGUAGGGGUCAUCUAGAGUGCCUUCGAGACGUGGAGCUAAUUAUAUGCUAACUUUUAUUAAUGAUUUUUCCAGGAAAGUUUGGGUGUUCUUCCUGAAGCAGAAAUGCGAUGUGUUUUUCGUAUUUAAGUCUUGGAAAAUUAUGAUUAAAAAAUAGACAAAAAAAAUAAAUUACCUCUGCACAGAUAAUGACUUAGAGUUCUGUUCUGACGAGUUUAAUAAACUGUGGAAGUCAGAAGGGAUUAUGAGACACUUGACAGUUCGUCAUACUCCACAACAAAACGGCGUUACAGAACGAAUGAACUGAACGAUCAUGGAGAAGGUUCGAUGUAUGUUGUCAAAUGCCAACUUACCAAAGUUGUUUUGGGCAGAAGCAGCCUCUACUGCAUGUUUUUUUAUUAACCGAUCUCCAUCCAUUCCCAUUGAGAAAAAGACUCCACAAGAGGUAUGGUCUGAUAAUCCUGCUAAUUAUUCUGACUUAAAGAUCUUUGGGUGUCCUGCAUAUGCUCAUGUUGAUAAUGGAAAUUGAAACCAAGAUCCAUUAAAUGUGUUUUUCUUGGUUAUAAAGUUGGUGUAAAAGGGUAUAAGUUAUGGUGUCCUGAAAAUAAAAAAGUUGUGAUUAGCAGAGAUGUCGUUUUUUAUGAAACUACUAUGCUACCUAACCUAUCUCUUAAAGACUCUUCCAGUAAAGAAAAUCAAAAGCAGGUGGAGCAUCAGAUUAAUACAGAGUCUACUUCUCAAGCCAGUACAAAAAUUGAGAAUAGAGUUGCUUCUUCACCACAAUACUUUAUUGUCAAAAACAGAACUAGAAAAUAAAUUAAACCACCAAAGAAGUAUGCCGAGGCUGAUCUAGUUGUUUAUGCUUUAAAUGUGGCUGAAGAUAUAGAUGCAAACCAAGAGCCAUCUAAUUAUUCUGAGGUAGUUAGCUGUGAAGACUCAGAAAAGUGGAUGUUUGCUAUGCAAGAGGAGAUGAAAUCACUCCAUAAAAACAGAACAUAGAAUCUUGUGAAAUUUCCUAAAGGUAAAAAGGUUGUUCAUUGUAAAUGAGUGUUUAAAAAGAAAGAAGGGACUCUAGGAGUUGAAGAACCUAGAUAUAAAGCAAGGUUUGUUGUAAAGGGUUACAGUCAAAUUUUAGUAGUGGACUUUAUAAAAGUGUUCUCCCCAGUUGUGAAGCAUAGUCCGAUUCGAGCUUGCUUGGUAUUAUGGCAAUGCAUGAUUUGGAGCUUGAGCAGUUAGAUGUAAAAACUGUAUUUCUGCAUGGAGAACUUGAGGAGGACAUCUACAUGCAACAACUAGAGAGUUUUACAGUCUCAGAAAAAGAGGACUAUAUUUGCUUGCUGAAAAAGUCCUUUUACGGUUUGAAACAGUCACCAAGACAGUGGUACAAGAGGUUUGAUUCCUUUAUGACUUCUCAUGAUUUCAAAAGAAAUAGUUUUGACAGUUGUGUUUACUUUAAGAAAAACUGUGAUGGUUCUUUCGUAUAUCUACUUAUUUAUGUUGAUGACAUAUUGAUAGCAGCAAAAGAUAAAGGAGAGAUAAGAAAUGUCAAAGCCCAACUAAGCGAAGAAUUUGAGAUGAAAGAUUUGGGACCAGCAAAGAAGAUACUCGGUAUGAAUAUUCUCAGAGAUAAAAAAAUCAAGUAAAUUGUACCUAAGUCAGAAAUGGUACAUUGAGAAAGUUCUUUGCAGGUUCAAUAUGCAGAGUGCUAAGCCUAUUAGUACUUCUUUAGCAGCCCAUUUCAGAUUUUCAUCGGCUUUGUCUCCACAAUCAGAUGAUGAGAUUGAGUACAUAUCACAUGUUUCAUACUCUAGUGUAGUGGGAUCUCUCAUGUAUGCAAUGGCUUGUUCACGUCUAGAUUUAUUAUAUGCAGUCAGUGCAGUUAGCAGAUACAUGACAAAUCUCGGUAAAGAACACUAGAAAGCAGUUAAGUGGAUUUUAAGAUACUUACGAGGUACUACUGAUGUCUACUUACAGUUUGGAAGAACUAGAGAUAGAGUCAUUGGAUAUGUUGAUGCUGAUUUUGCUGGAGACCUUGAUAGAAGAAGAUCUCUCAGAGGUUAUAUCUUUACAAUCGGAGGUUGUGCAAUCAAUUGGAAAGCAACUUUGCAAACUACAGUCACUUUGUAUACCACUGAAGCUGAGUACAUGGCGAUUACUAAGGCUUGUAAAGAAGCUAUUUGGUUAAAGGGACUCUUUAGUGGACUCAAAGAAGACCUUCAAAUCAGUACAGUAUUUUGUGACAGUCAGAGUGCAAUCUUCCUUACAAAAGAUCAAAUGUUUCAUGAGAAAACAAAACACAUUGAUGUUCGGUAUCAUUUUGUUCGUAAUAUUAUUGCUCGUGGUGAUAUUGUUGUGAGCAAAAUUAGUACUCAUGAAAAUCCUGCAGAUAUGAUGACUAAAUCACUUCCUAUAACCAAGUUUGAGCAUUGCUUAAACUUGGUUGGUGUUCAUUGUUGAAGUUAAACCCUUAAGGGGUUUUAUGGAAGAGGUGGAGAACUUGUUUGUUGAGAGUUUGCGAUAAAGAACUUGUUCAUUGAUAAUUCGUGUCAAGGUGGAGAUUGUUAGAAUUAAAUGACCCGAAUCCUUAUUUAAAUAAAAUAUAGUGGUAAAAUAAAAUAAAAGUAAAAUUCAUAUAGAACUACACUUAUUUUAUUUUAUUUUAGAAUAAGGUUUUUUAAACCUUAUUAAACUUCAUCUAUUUUAUAUUAAUUAGAAUAAGGUGUUUCAAUCUUACUAGAAUAUAGCUUUACAAGCCUAUAAAUAGACAUAGUCUAAUCCUCUUGUAAUUAUUCGAAUUCGACAUAGUGAAUUUUCUUCUCCUCUGCUCGUGGUUUUUUUUCUCGAAAAAGUUUCCACGUAAAAUCUGUAUGUUCUUUAUUUUAUUUUAUUUUAUUUUAUUUUAUUUUCACAGUUUAUUUAUCAUAUUCACUUGUCACUUUUUACUUAUUUCACAAUUUAGUCCUUAAGUCCUCAAAUCAACUUAUAAAAAUUACUACUCUUUUUAUACAUGUAUCGUAUUUCACCAUUUAGAGUAAAUUUUCAUGAUUUUUUCACUAUUUCUUUCCCAAUUUAUUUUUACAUAUUUAACUUACUAGUCAUUAUCCUUCUUAUACUUCCUCAAAUACAUUCAAAUUACUUACAUCUUCGCUUUACUAAUUCAAUAUUUCAAAUAUGAAUCGAAGAUAAACCUUUACCUUGUAACGAAAAUUGUUUACCUUUUUAGCAGAGGCAUAGUAGACUAAACAGAACACUUAGGAUAUACGGAACUGAUACAGAGGAGCAUUAUUAUGCACUAUUAAACAGAGAGCACUAAUAUGCUAAUAAUCAAAUAGCACGUUAGGGUCACUUAAUGGCAUGCCACUAAUAUCCUAAUAGUUCUAAUAUUGUCUACUUGGGCAAAUUAUAUCAUGCACACAUAUCACUUUUAAACUUUUCGCAUAAUGUUUUUACAUACUUUACAAAUUAAUCCUUGUACCAAUAAUCCAUAUACUUAUAUCUUCACUAUCUUUAAUACAUGUAAUAUAUUUCUAAAUUCAUUGUUCAUCAUAAUUCACUAAUAAUCCUUAUCCUGUAUUUCACAUAUCACUUUUAUAUAUUUUGUAAUUUAGUCAUUAGCACAAUAUUUCAUGUAUCAAUAUAAUUUAUUUUUAAUACCACAUAUAACAUAAUUCAAUACUUAUUAAUAUUCCAAAAUUCACUACAACAUCAAAUUUUCUCAUUCUAAGUGUUAUGCACUUCACUUUUCUAUUUCUAAUAUAAAUUUUCUCAGAUUUACGAUUUAACCCUUAAUUUCCACAACCUAGGAAAUAAUUGUAGUUUGGAUUACAAAAUUCAUAUAUUCUUUUACUUUUCACUAUGUGCUUUAUUAUCAAUAUUUCUUGUAAAAUUUUAUAACUUUCCAAUUUAAUCACAUUUUUCCAUAAAAGUUCUCUAUUCAUUGUUAUAAAAAUUUUCUUUAACAUCUCACUUAGUUCACAUAAUUAAUUCCACUAUCUCAUUUUCCACAUCAAAUUUCUAUGUAUUUCACUUGUAUUAUUGUAACACCCCCUAACCCCAAACCGUUACCGGAACGAGGUUAUGAGGCAUUACCGGACAUAUCAGACAACUUACGAAUAAUUUACAAUUAAUAUAACUUUCAUAGUAUAAUAUAAUAAUUAAGUCCCUAUCUUGAACUCUCGAAGUUCAAACACGUAUUAAAAGUAGAACAGGACUUGUUCGAGUAUUCCAAAUUUUUUUUAUAAAAAUUUCGGCAACAUUUCUGCUUAUUUUUACCUAAACCUCCUGCAAAUUCAAACCAAAACAACAAACACCAAUAUUUCACAUUCAUAUACUAAUAUUUAUAUUAUUAACAAAAUUUUAAUUUAAUAACUAUCAUAGCAUCAUUCAAAAUUGAUUAAAAACUUCAUUCAUUUAACAACUUAAUGUUCAUGUAUCAAAAUAUCAUGUACUUUCCCUACCAUUUCAUUUAACCAUCUAAAUUUUAUAAUUCAUCCUUCACUACCCAAAGUAAUAUACAUAUUCAAGUGACUAAAUAACACCUAUGUACAUGCCACCUUUACCCAAAAGAAAAAUAUACAUCACCAAGUUUGUGUUGGAGUCGGGAUUGUUCUGAAUGCUGAGCCGGGACACUUGACUUCUACUAACCUGCGCACGGAAACAACCGUACGCUGAGUAUGGAUAUACUCAGUGGUAUUACUAUAAAUCAAGAUUAUUUAACAUUAAUAAAUUACAAACAUCAACCAUAAAUUUUAUAAUUAUUUAAACUACUUUUAUAUAAAAUUAUUUUACUUCAUAAAUCUUAAAUUCAUAAUUUAUUUUUCUCAUACUAACUUAAUUCAUAAUUUAGUUCAUACAUUCUUUCUCGUACUUUUCAAUAGUGCUAAAACAAAUAAUCUCAUUUUCAAAAUUUCAUUUCAAUUAUUUACCCUAUUAACAAAGCUCGGACUAUGACAGAUACGCGGAUUCCAUCCAAACACACCAGAAUGUCCAACCCAAACACACCCGGAAUAUUGUAAAUCCUCCAUAACACACCGGUAUAAUAUAUCCUCCCAAACACACCAAUAAGGCAUUAAAUGCCUAUUCGGAUAAACCGAAGUAUAUAAUAACAGAAAUAUCCUCUCGGCCGAACUACAAUCUCUUCAUCACAUCACAAAUCCAAUGGCAUGCCAUUUGUAUCGAAUCUAGUCCGACAAGUUAAUAGGGUAUUAUUUUAUUUUUUUCUAAUUUCAAUUUCAUUUACACAAAAAUUUUCAAUACUCAUUCAAUUCAAAUAUCUAUUAUCUUAAUUCAUAUACAAAUUAAUUUUCACACAAGUGUAUAUCAUCAACACCAUACAUUUGUCGCAAUUUAUUUAUUUUCAAUCAAUACACUUUUCAAAUAAUCACAUAUUCCAUAAUUCACUUAUUCAAUUCAAUUUGAUUCAAUUUAUAUCACUUUCAUUUUCACUCAAUAUUCAUAUCGAUUUCACAUACUUACCUCAAGUCUUAUUUACCAUACAUAAUAAUUAAAAUUUCAGCAAUCAAUAAUAAUUAAAUUUGAAUUAUAGUAAUACACACCGUAAUUCUCCCGUUUUAGUCCUCGAUGACUUUCUCCUUUCCUUUCGAUGCUGAUGCUUCCGGUUCUUUGUUGGCUACGAAAAUAAUAGUAAUUUACAUUAUUAUUUACAGCAUUAAUUAUAAUAAAUAAUUAAAUUUCUAAACAACUCCUACCUUAUUCCCAAUUUAAUCCUAACUAAACUUAAUUAUUUUCUUAAUCCAAUUCACUCACUUUUUCUAUUCAAAUUUUGUCUAAACUUAUAUUUAACUAUAAAAUUUCUAGCAUAUUUCCCUAAUUUCGAAAUUUCUUCAAUUUAGUCCCUACAACAUAAAACUUAUAGCCUAGUUUACAAUUUAAUCCCUUAAUCAAUUCUAACUUAGAAUUCAUUCAAUUAAAUCCCUAAUUCCAUAAUUUUUUCAACAUGAACCCUACUUGGAAACAUAUGGACUCUUGAACUAUCAACUUAAUUUCAUCAAAAUCUUGUUUCAAAGCUCCUAAAACAUCAAAAUUAACUAAAAAGGACUUAAUUAACUUACCAAAUUAACUCCAAGCUUCAAAUCCUUAGUUUUCUCUUUUAUUUUUCUUUCUCUUUUUCUCCCAUUGCUUCCCGUUUUCGAUCCCUCCGUCACCCCAGAAUGAAAGGGGCGAUCUCGUAGUUCUUGGUCUGUGAAGAUACGUUGUUAGGUGCUCCAUUUUAUUUUCCCAUUGAGGCCGAACCUAAACCUGUGCUCGAGAGAUAGCUGUCCAUACACUGAUAAGGGAUGUAUGGAUUAUCGAGAAGAGAGGAGCCGUGGUGGUCCCCCCCGGACCGCCCAGAUCCCACGAGUGAAUAGAAAGUUGGAUCUACAUUGGAUCUCACCUGAAUCGCCCCAUCUAUCCUCCAGAGGAGAAGUUUGGUUUCAAACCCCGGUUCGAACAGGAGAAGUACGCCAUGCUAAUGUGCCUUGGAUGAUCCACAUCUCAGGGUUUCUAUUUCCUUUUGUUUCUUUAUUUCUUUAAUUCUUUUAUACUUUAUUAUUUUAUUAACAUAAUAUAAUAUUAAUAUAAUAUAUUAAAAUAUCUUUUACUUUAAUAUUAAGUAAAUUAAUAAUUAUAUAACAAGUGUACAUAUUUAUAUUAUUACAAAUGUCAUUAUCUAAUUUGCUUAUUAAAUAAAAAUUUCAUAAUUUAAUUAAUACAAUUAAUAAUUAUAAAAUAUUUUUAUACUUAAAUUAUAAGUAAUUAAAUAUUUAAAUUACAAAUGUACCCAUACAAUUCUUACACAUGUAUAUUUUAUUACCAUACAAUUGUCUUCUAUUUAAUUUAUUUAUAAUAUAUUAUCAAUUAAAUAAUCAUAACAAUUUAAUAUAAAACCAUAAUAAUAAUAAUCAUUAUAAUAUAUAAAACCUAAAAAAAAUCUUUGAUUUUAUUUCACCAAUAUGCCACCUCAUUUGUAGUCAAUGGCUUAAUUGCCAUUUUAAUCCUUUUUAUUUUCUAUUGCUUUAUAAUUAAACUUUUACUCUUUAUUCAAUUUAAUCCUUUUUAUUACUUACUCUAAAUUAAGCUAAAUUCACUUAAUUAGAUCCUAAUUAGACACACCACUAGGCUCAUAAAUAUUUUUUUUAUAAUUAUUUUCGAACUUAUUUCUCUAAGACGGAGGCCCUAUAACUCACUUUUCCGGUGCCCGUGAAUUUCAGGUCAUUACAAUUAUUUCCACCACAAAUAUUUCUCAAGUCUUUCAAUUUAGUCAUUGUUUCCAUAAAAUUUCACAUUUUCCCAUCAUUUCACUUAUCUAGUAUUUUGUAUAUUUUUCGCUAGCACAUAACCCAACUAUUAUACUUUUAUUAUAAAUUCAUACUUCACAUGAUAAAUUAUUUCACACUAAUUUUUCAUUUUACUUAGUUACCACUUACUUUACAAAGAUCACAUUUUAAUCCUUAAAUAACAAGGAAGUUCAUGGGUACUUACCUAUUUUCUAUCAAAAUCUCUUGUUUUUCUCUUCUCCUACCACUUGAUUCACUUACUCAACUUCUGUCUUCAUCAACAUGUCAAAAACACAAUAUUUCCUCAUGAGAAAUCUGUUCUAUAACACCAUUUUUAUGCUUUUCUAUCAUUACUAAACUUAAAAAUAACAUAAAACCAUAACAUCCAUACCUUAUUCUCUUGAAACCAAACUUUAACUUGAUUUUCUCUCUCCUCCAACUUCUAUUUUCUUGAAUCUAACUUGAUAUUCUAGCUCCCCAUAGUCUCAUUGUUAUUUUUUUCUCUUGGUGAUUAUGGAAAUUCUUUUGAUUUCUAAGUGAAAAUGGUGGAUUUUUGUGAAAAGACCAAAUUGUAAAGAAAAGAAAAUUUUCUUUCUUUCUUCUUCUUUUCAAGUUGUGAACAUGUCUUUCCUUAUAUACUAAAUAAAAUAUAAUUAAAUGUCAAAUCAAAAUGUUAAUAAACAUAUAUUUACUUAAUUAAUCUAAAAUAUCACUAACAUCAUCAUUACUCUUCAAAAUUAUUUUUCUUCCUAAAUGACCAUUUUGCCCCUUAUGAUCCUUCAACAUUAUUCCAUUGAAUCAUCACUCAUUUUAGUAAAAUUGUAUUUACCCCCUCAUAUUUUCUCCACUUAUUCAAUUUGGUCAUAAUUCAUCCAUUUUCCUUAGUUUCUAGAUCCUUCCAUCCUUAAAAUAUAUGCACUAUUUGUCCUUCAAAUUUUCUAUAUUUACACUUCAACCCCUUAAAUUUUAAGUAUUUAAUCUUAGGCCACAAAACUUUUCUCACUUUUGCAAUUUAAUCAUUUCUUGAAUUAAUAUAUCAUAAUAUACUUCCUAAAUAGAUUUUGUUGACAUAAUUCAAAAUUUCUCCUUUUUUUCAUUUUAUUUCCUUAUUUUACUGUAUCAAAGAUAAUAUCGCACUUUAUUACUGUAGCAACUUUCGAGGUGUUACAAUCACACCAAAUGGUAGAAUCACCAUAUUGUUUCCUUAUGAAUACUUGACACUUCGCAUGUAUUAUACAUGAACAAACACAAAGCCAAUGUGUGGGAGUUUGUUAGGAAGCUUAAUGUUCAUUUAUCACAUUUAGAUACAUAGGUAAGACACCUCUUAUAAUUUAGCAUUAUUUAAAAAAAAUGAAUUAGUCGGUUAGAUAGAUUAACUUGUAAAUCGACUAAAUCGGUUGGUCAAAUUAAUUCAAUUGAAUUAAAAAAUUAAUUGAAUUAAUUUUUAAUAGUUUAUUUAAUUAAACUAAAUAAAUCAAUUGAAUAAAAAAUUAUUGAUGUAACCGAUUUAAUUUUGAAAACCAAAAUUAGCCUACUUUAUCUAAAACUUGACACCUUUAUAAAACUCUCCUUCAAGAAUUUGAUCUAUGCAAAAAAAAAAAAAAAAAACUGCUAAAUUUCCCUCAGUAUCUUCCAUCUCUUCCUAAAUCUUAAGCACCUUUUACUCUUGACACCAUCGUAUGACCUCAACAUUGUAUUAGCAUGUACUCUUUCUAUGUUUUAUGGCAUUUAAUUUGAUUUUAAAUAUUCAUAUUUUGAACAUAUAUAUUUUUAGCAAACAUAUUUGAAUUUGCAUGACUUGAAUAAAAAAAUUUAAUAUAUCCGUUAUAAACAUGUACUAUUUUGACUCCAAUUGUCUAGGUAACCACCUUUAAAGUCAAAACCUGUCUUAAAAUAGAAAAUAAAGAUAAAAACAUUAAUUGCAUAUGUAAAACACAGAUUUGAGUUUAAAUUGUAAUAUACAAUAAAUAAAGAAAGGUAAAAUUUGAAACUAAUAAUAAUAACAUAUAUACUAUGAAAUUAAAAUAAAAAAUAGUUAAAAUUGUUAGUAAAAGAAUAUUUAAAUAGGUAUAAAUACAUCAGUUUAAGAAUAUCAAAUGCACUUCAAUUGUUUAUUAUGGUAUUUUUAUUAUUCUUAAGUUGGUAUUAAGUUGAUUUGUGACACCAAUUCAAUAAACAAUAUUAUCAAUAAAUGUAAAAAUGAUAACAACAUUGAAAAAUAUAAAAAUAUUAAAAUGGUAAAAAAAAGAUUUUAUAGAUGAUGCUAGUGGCAUGAAUUUAAAUCUUAAUAUAACCAAAUUUUAUAUUUAUUUUAUUAAACAUAUAAAAGGGUAAGAGUAUCAUUAUAAGAAUAUAGCUUAUUUCAAACACGUAAAAAUAUUUUAAUAAUUUCUUUAAUUGAAUUAAUUUUGAGUUAACUUAUAACAUUAAUUCAAUCGAAUAAUAAUAUGAUUACAUGUUUGUUCCUUAAUUUUCCUUAAACAUAUACAUAUAUGUACAUAUAAACACGUUCCAAAACCAAUAUUUCAAUGACCUGACAUUCUUGUCCAUGCAUAUUUUUGUCAACUUCCUCUUGACAAGUGUUGGACAAGUUUAGAUGCUCCAUUCAAAGACCUCGGACAUGUAUACAUAUAUAAAAUAAUAUCAUAUUUAUAUAACGAUAAAAGGAUAAAAUGUUGGGGAUGCGAGAAGAGGACAAGAAGAGUUUUUGAGAUAUUUUGGUAUGUGAUAAAUACUAAAGAGAUGAUGGUUGUUUAAAUUACAUGGCAAACAUAUAUAGAAUCUCGACCACAUCUAACAAUGAUGCUAUUUUUUCUUGUUGUUUCUUUCGAAGGAGAAAUGUGACACGUAGUGGACAAUGGUAGACAGCCACAAAUUAGAAAAAAUGUGCAAUUGAAUUAUGAUUAGUUGGAAGAGUGCAUGAAUCACACCACAUAAUCCUAAAGUGCAGUUCGCUGUUUAAACUUCAAACUUUGGGUACGGGACAAUAUUGGCUUGGACCGGUUCUAUAUUUAUAUUGUACAUUAUAAUAUAUAUAGUAGCUAACGUGGAUAUGAAACCGAAGUUGUUUUGUAUUUUUGUAUAUUUUCAGCAACCAUAUACUUAAAAUAAGGUUGAGGUUACUGUAUGUGUAUUGAUUGAGCACGACUUUGGUCUAACUCUAACGAGUUGCAAUUGAUAAUCACAAUUAAUGUUUCCUCGUAAAAUUAUUCCAUUUUGGCUUUAUACGUCUCUCUUAAUCACUCACAAAAAUCAAACAUAAAAUCUUAUUUAAGUAAAAAUGAAAUUGUUGUGGCUGGAUCAAGCAGAUUGAAAACCUUUGGUUGAUAGAAGAGAUAAGAUCAUAGUGAGGGUUAAAAUAUGGAAGGCCAUUGUUUAAAUGGAAAUAAGAGGGGCAGUUGAAGGAUAUCAUAUAGCUGGUCAAAUUCGGAGUGGCAGAAGCAGAUAAUGGAAAGUGACUGCAUCUGCAUGCGCGGGGGAGCCCAUACCCAAAGAAGGUCAAAGUGACGUCAACAUAUCUCAAUUCUCAAAGCUUUUUCUUGAGAUGAAGAUUUUGAUUUCGAUUUGCUGCAGCAAGAUUCAGUUAGAUCUACCAGGUGGCAAUGCCCCCUCAUCAGCCUUGUCAAAUCAUCAUCAAAGCUUUGAGCACCAAACCAAAAGAAUAGACGACUAGCACUCCAGAUACGCGCUGGUCGAGUGAAACUGCUGCGAGGGUGCCUCUGCCUGUUAGGCUUAGUUUAAAUUGACAAUUGAAUGCAGUGUGGUACAUUUAACUUAUUUUUUAUCUCAUAUUAUAGUAUUGCUAUUAUAUCAUAUAAACUCCCCUUUAAUUUCAUUCCCCCAUUCAUCCGUAUCGUAUUUCAAUCAAUUUAAUUAUUUUCAACCAAUAACAAUUUGCAUAUCUAUAUAUAAAGAGCGAGAGAGAACUGUUUCUGUUGGAACAAAAAAUAACAUGUCUAGAAGUACCUGUUAACCUUUGUUUGAGGGGGAGGGCACUUGAUGUGGGGCCUUCUUAUUUUUUUUCUUCUUUUAAACGUUUUGACAUUACGAAAACCAUAAGAAACACGAGUCAUAGCUGGUCUGGCCUCUCAAAGUAUGAACAAAUGUGUAUAAAGUAGAAUCACCUUGUCUUCCACUUUUGGUGUGUGUUCAUAUCGUACCUGUUGCAUGUCCCACGCCUAACUAUUUUCCCUUCAACGGACUUCAUGUUACGUAUGUGUUAGAUAUACAUAAUUUUUUUGAAGUUAGACAUAAUUCACAAUAACAAGUUAUAUUUACAGUUCACAAUAACAAGUAAUACCAUAUAUAUUAUAUUUAUAGUUAAAAUAAAAAUACUAUAAUAUAUUUAAACAUAAAUUAGAAUAAUAAAACUAAAAAUAAGACUGGAAUCUAAAUUUAAGACUUACACGUGUAAGUAAAAUAAAAUUUGAACUUAAACUAAACUUUCCCUUUACAAAUUACCGGUAUUGUCAAGAAUUCAUGUACACUCCUUUUUAGUAGUACAAUAUUUAUUGCUUCAUUCAUAUCAGAUGUACCCUUAUUAUUGAGCGGUGGAAUCAGGAUUUAUCAUAUUAUUAUAUAUGGAAAGUUUAUGACAUCAAAUAUUAUCAUUUUUCCUUUCAAAAUUUCAAUCCCCUAAACAGACUUUUUUUAGUAACAUAAAACCCUUUAAAUCAAUGUAAACAUAAAACAGGGCUCAUCUAUAAUCAACUUACAGGCUCUAUACAGGUGCAAACAAAGUAGCUAAACCUUGAUCCACGGUUAUUUGAAGCUUAUCGUACGCCAUAGAGCACUUUACAUUACCCUUGUAUGUUACAUUUCCCCUGGCAAGAAGCUCACCAUCUGAGUCGAUGAUCCCUUCCUUCAUUGGAUCAUCGAUUCGAGCACCAGGCUCCAACACAAAUGCCUUCACCUGUAGUUAAUCACAAAGAACAUGGAUGGUUUUAUUGCUAAAGAUAGGACCAUGGUUCUUCGAAAUUUUAUAUAGAAGAAAAGUUACAAAAACCAAUCCCAAGGUUAAAUGGUUAUCGAUUAGUUAACUCACCUUAAGGUACAUAACGUGUGGACAAUGGACAUGACUCCCAUCAUUCAUUUUUGAUAGCAAUGACAGCAAGGAUAAUUUCGGGAUGUCCUUUACGAUAAUCAAGUCCAAAUAACCGUCCGAGAACUGCAAUUGCAACCAUCAAAAGAAACAUGAUAGUAAUAUUAGUCAUGCAUGCAUGUUAGAAACAGAAAUCAAACAGAAAAUUUCAGACCUGAAAAGUUCAAAUUUCAACGGUGAAAUCCAUCGUGCAAGAUUAAACAUAAUUGAAAUUGCAUAGAGUAAAUGUGGCAUGGUUGCAGGAAUUUUAAUUAAGAGAUGAAAAAUUGAAAAAGUGAGCCAGUCCCUGCUCGGCACAUUCUACAGAGUGUAGUAAUUCUUUUGGAAUCUUAGAGCUUCUAAAGUCUUGAAGACGAAACAGUCCCUUAAUGCGUGUAGCAUUCUUCAAACUAAGUUUUCCUGAGCUCAAGAGGGCAUCAAAAUGAAGCUUCAUAUGCUAUAGAUUAUACAGAAUGAAAUCUCAAUUGCUUUGGUUUGUAUUAAUGGAUGCUUUUAAAGUGAUAAGAUUAAGUCAGAGAAGAACAUAGUAGUAUCUUUUCUAAACUUUAGUGUCAAUUCCAGUGGAGUUUGGACAAACUCAAAAUUUGAAGUUAAUGACACUGCAGAUGCUACUUACGGGCUAAAGGCUAAAGGAAGUUGCUCAUGUAUAAGGCAGAGGAUAGCAAAAAAUUAAGACAUAUUUUAUGGAUAAUAGAACAAAUAAUUGAAUUCACAAGUUAGUGUAAAAUAAACCAUUGCAUUGGGUGCAGCCAGGACAUCUUCACUUCCCCACGGUACAUUAUGAAGCCAGAUUGAAACAAAUGGUCCGCUAAUAGUCCUCCAAUGCAUGUUCUCCAACUUAACAUCGGAUCCAAGGUACCCAGGCUGUUGAGUGUUAAGGGACUCUUGUUGACUUGUGCGUGUUUCACAGGAAGGUUCACCAGAAUAAAUGGUUUGCUCGCCAUACUCUUCAAAGCCAGGAGCAUGCACAAAAGAAACACGUCCAUUGUAAUGCCUUAAAUAUGUUAUACGUUGAAGAGCCUACAGAGGAAACACAAAGACUAUUCUCAUUACCAAAUCCCAAACGUAUUUAUGGAGCCAUACUGGCUGUGCCCUAAAUAAGGUGCUAAAGCUAUAUAAAAGUCCUUGUGCACAACAACAACCAGAUCAGAUGAAGGGAUAUACAUAGAAAUCAAUACGAGCACUCCCCAUCCAUCUAUACUUUUCAGAUUCGAUGUCAAUGUCUGCUAUCAGACCUGGAAAAAAAAACAUUUGCCAAAAUGUUAAAAGUGCAAUAAUUUUAAAGUUUGUGACCUGUAGUCAAAACCAGCCAGAUGCACGCCUUACCAAACUUGGAUUAACGGAAGGAGGAAUAAUUCUACAUACCCCAUGCAAGCAUCAAGACACUAAAAAAUCUAGUUUUCCCUUGCGAGAUAGUAGCUACAUCCAACGAACGUGUAUGCCCUGUCAGGAGUACUAUAUUAAGCCCAAAAAUUCUUCAAUCAAAAUGAAAUACUAUUUGCUGCUCAGAGAAAGAACGAAAAUAAUUAUGUUCUUAAUGAAAUAAAAGACACCCUUGUUAACCUCUGAUAACAGCAAGAAUGGCAUUAGAUGGGCUACAUAUUUCACCAACUGAAUCCAGCAAAGACUUCACCAUGCCAUUUCCCGUUCCUACAUCCACAACCAUAUCCAAUCAGAUAUCAACACUGUCCAAAUAAGUCAUUAGAUAGUUUUCUAAUUAAGCAUGGAAAAAAAAAAUCAAACCAAUCAGAAUCAUAUUGAACCAGAAAAUACUGAAUAGAUAAUAAAAAUCAAAUUGGCAAAGAAACUCUUUACGCGUCACAUUCUGAACCAGAAAAUCAUUGCGAAGAGGUCCCAAAAGUGGUAAACUUUUAUGAAAGAGAGGGCUUUGGUUUCAACUUACAACUAACAUAAAACCACAAAUUUUAAAGGUUCCAAAAAUUAAUAAACUCCUUCAAAGCACAAUCCAAGCACAGAUUUACAUUCACUAAUUACAUGUUGAAAUUUUAUCUUAUACUAACAUGGUGAUAGAGAGAAAACGCACCAGCAGGAACCAUUCCUAUAGGCAUCUUUAUUGCAUCACUCCAAUCUUCUCUUUCAAGUAAUCCAUUUAUCACCUACUAAAAGGUGGCAACAAUGUUGAGAUAUUGAAAAAAAAAAAAAAACCACCCACAUUUACAAUAAUAAUCCAAUAUUCAGAGAAUUGGAUUAACUAACCUCAACAAGGAUUCCAUCGCCACUAACACAAACAAUUCCAUCAUAUUUUGAUAAAUCCAAGGUUUUGACAACUUCUUUAGCAUGCAGCUGAUGUUUAGUUUCUGAAAAUUUGUGAUUAUCAUCGAAAUUAAUAAAAGAGAACAGAAUUGUGUUAAGUUAAAACAUGGAUUUAAUGGGGAGAAAAACAUUGAAUCCAAACCUAUGACAGUAAACUGUAUAUCAGCAUCUUCAAGGCAAGGUCUUACAUCUUCUACGAAAAUUUUAGUUGCACAUUUCUUCCCUCCAAACGGGUUCACAAAUAUCAGUAGUCUCUUUGGCCUACCUGUUACGAAAACAAAAAUUGUUACGAUAAAUAAUUCAAAUUAUAAAACUUGAAAAAUGAAAAUGACUUUCUUUUAAAAUUUUACCGAGAGAAUCAAUAUAAUCACGAAGCUUCUGAGACCAGAGAGUGAGCGAUUCCUCUGAGAGAGGCUCGAACACAAAACUCUGCCUCGCGAUACCUCCCAUGUUCGCGAAACAGAGUAUUCCAUCUCUCUUUUCGACGGCGACAUUGACUCGGAUUCUAGAACCUUCGAAGGUGAAUCCGAGAACCUCCUUCUCAACGUUCAAGCACCGCCGGUCGUCAUGGUUCCACCGGAGCUUCCCGUCUCUGGUGAACGUCAGGGGAACCACUUUCCCGUUGACGAGGACUCGGUCUGAUAUGAAGGAUGAGAGGUUCUCUGGAUCCAUAGUGUUAACUGGUUUUCAAAAUGGCUGGCAUCUGGCAAUUAUUAAUGGGAAGGUACGGUUUGGUUGGGUUUAAGACGGCAGAGGGCGGGGAUGAAGUGGGGUUGAGAAGUUUCUGAUUCGCUUCGCGGUUCUUGCUCAAAUCGUUUGUUGCUUUUGGAUAGCUCUUUUUUUCUUUUCUACCCUCGUUUCAUUGUUGAUGCGGCCACGCUGUGGCGCUAUUCAUUUGUUUACAUUACACAUAAUGUACCGGGCAAGACUUAUGGUAUGGUGAUUAUUUUAAUUUCGUUUUUUAUUCGAUAUUUUCAUGACGUUUUUCUUGUUGAUGUUGUGAAUGAUAUUUGUCAUGACGUUGAACACCGUUCGAGAAAUAAUAUUGAAUAGAUUGUAGACAAAUGAAUCAAUCACGUAAAGUAAGUUUUGAACGUACCAUUUCAUAGUUGAAAAAAAUAAAAUGAAAUUUGAAAUGGAUAAUAUUCAAGAAAAAAAGGGUUUCUGUUUUUGAACUGAAUGGUUUUAUCAUUUUAAAAGUGAUUAAAAGAUUAAUAAUAAAGAUUUAAGGAAAUUUACCAUAGAAAAAAAGGGAAAGGAGCGUGGCGGGUAAUGAUUGCGCCAUUUAGGAUUUCCGAUCCGUCCACUGUCGAGUUUGUUUGGGUUGAAAGAUAAAAUACUGGACCGGGUUAAUAACCCAAAACAUGCCACGUUGAGCCCAGACCUAAAGCCUGUCUCCAAAACCUCGGCUCGUUAAACCUCACAUUGCAAUCUAGGGAGAGACGAAGCUGCUCUGUUUGCUGCCAUGGGAGGAGAAGAAGAAUACGAAGAGGAAGCACCGGUGCUACAAUCGAAGCCCCGAGGCCGCCACAUAAAGAAAAGAGCUCUCAAAAACAAAGCACUCUCCGUCUCUUUCAACGAGAAGGAUCUCAGGUACCAUACCACGCGCAUAACUCGUUCUUUAUUCCAACCUAGGUAAAAAGGCUAAUAUUUGCUUUGCUUUGCUUUGAUAAUUGGUGAAUUGGUAAGGGAUUACGUUACUGGGUUUCACAAGAGGAAGAAGAAGCGAAGAAAGGAAGCCCAUAAGAAGCAAGAGCAGGCUGAACGACGCAAGCGUAUUGAACAGCGCAAAAAGGUUUUCCUUUUCUUCCAUCUUUUUACCUGUUUCGAACGAUGCUAUUGUAUUUCGAUUCAAAUCAAAUGUCUUCAAACUGCAGCUAAUAUUUGUUAGAUUUGCACAUUUUGCCAUAGUGGUUGCUUUAAAAUCGAAUAGUUACGGCUGUUGAAAUAUAUCAAGGAAAUUAGUUCAACGAGUCUAUUCCAUUUCCCUAUGCAAAUAGAAACCAAUUAUCAUAGGCAUAGCCACUCGGAAAGGAUUGUCACCAUUAAUCUGCCAAUGAGAUUUGAAUAACAAGAUUGGGAGAAACCUUGUUCUUCCUUUUCAUUCCCACCUUUGCAAUGAAAUUAGACUUAUGUUGCUCCUAUUCUUCAUUUUCUCUAAAGAAUUCAUGUCCAAUGCUUGUAGCAGACAAACAUUCAAACAUGUGUACUGGUAUAGAUUCUUCAGAUAUAUGGGAAAAACUUAGAAAACAUUAAGCAUUCUGUGCAAACACAUACCAAUAUUUGACAAUCACCCCCCGAGUUCGAGUAACAUAGCAUUAUACAAGGAAUUGGAGGAUCUCUCCAGGAGUUCAUGUAUCUGCUUUUAACCCUAGUGGAUUCAAGCAUUUAACUUUGUGUGUUAUGUUUGCUGCAUACAGAGUCUACUUAGUUUUAUGUUUGUAUUUGGCUUUCCUAUCUAACUUGAAAACAAUCCGAAGUUACUUCUUUGGUUGGUGAAAUCAUCAGAGAAAGUUAGAAAAAGAAUUUGCCCUAUAUGGGGGAGCACUUCCCAAGACAAGCUCGGGACCUGAUGGAAUUGAUGAGAACAACGAAUAUGAUGAACAAAGAGAGCCAAUUGCAUCAGUUUCUGGUAUAUUUCUAAUCCUACAAACUGAUGGAUUCACAAGCUACUAUAAUGUUUAUCGACUAUAGAGGACAAUGGUUUUCUUUGCUUUCAAUCGCUAUAUUGCACUGGCAUUUUUAUGAUACAAAGCUCAAACGUAUUGCUUAUCUUAUUAUGCGGUCGGCUUUUGUUUAUCUGUGGAAGGGACAACUAUGUAUGAUGGUGGAAACAUGACAGUCACUGUGAUUACUAGUGAGAUUUCUCGUGAGGAAGAAGAUUUCACUAGUGCAAAGACUCAAACUACGAUGCUCAGAUCAGUCGGAGAUAAAGUUGAUAAAAAACUCGCCUUACCUGUGAGCAAAAGUAAACCCCUCAAGAGAGUUGCUAGACACAGACCUAAGCCACCAAGUAAAAGAGAGAAAAAUAAGGGGAAGAAAAGGAGCAAGAACUCGCAUUGACUUCUAAAUCAGACAAAUUUUUCAGUAGACAUGGAUACUUAUUUUAUAUGGAAGUGUAACACCCCUUACCCGAGACCGUUUCUGGAGUCGAGCACGAGGCAUUACUUAGCUUAUCUUACCAAUUCGGAGCAUAAAAACUAGGUUUGAAAAUUUAUUUCAUUAUUCGCAGUAAAUCUGUCCAAUCGCGCAGCAGUUACUAAAUUAAUUAUAACUUGAGCUACAGAACUCGAAAUUUAAUUCCGUAAAUUUUUCCUGAAACUAGACUCAUAUAUCUACUCACCAUAAAAUUUUUAGAAUUUUUGGUUCAGCAAAUUAGUACAGUUUAUUAGUUAAAGUCUCCCCUGUUUCACCACAUGACUGCCUUGACCUCUAGUCACUAAAAAUAAGUUUUCUCACUGUAGGAUUUUCAUAUGAAGUUCUUACUUGUUUCUACAGAAAAUAUACUCAUUAAGGAAUCUAAGCAUGUAAAUUUAAACUCAUAACCAUUUUUGUACAAUUUGUAAUUAUUUUCUAAACUCAGAACAGGGGACUCCAAAAACAGUUCUGACCCUAUCUUACUAAAAUUCACAUAUCUUAAAAUAUAAAUUUCUUUUUUCUACACUGUUAUUUUUCCAUGAAAAUAGACUCAACAAGCUUUAAUUCCAUAUAUCAUUCAUCCUCUAAUUCAUUUCAUACUAUCUUUGGUGAUUUUUCAAAUUCACGUCACUGUGCUGCCUGAAUUCUGUUUCUUUGCAAAUUUUUAUCCUUUCAUGAUUUCCAUGCAUAAUUUAUCACCUAAUCUUUCAUAACAACAAACACCUUCAUCCUUAAUCAUUUUAAUAACCAUACAUCAUCAAAUACUUACACAUCACUCAUUAGCAAAAUCAUCAUUACAAACAUACAAAAUAACUAAAUCCCUAUACAUGCCAUAACUCAAACGUGUUUCGAUAUAAAAUACCGAGCAGUUGUAGUUGAUAGUGUGGACGAUCUCCGACUUCUUUAGGAUCCUUGAAGUAGCUUUGCAAUACUAUAAGAGAAAGAGAAAUAAAAGAAGUAAGCAUAAAGCUUAGUAAGUUUACUAGCAAAUAAAUAACAAUAUUUAACUUAAAUAAUUAAACUCAAUGUCUAUAUCUCUAGUUUACUCUUUAGUUAAUCUCAUACUAGUUCUCUUACUUGUUUACUUAGAAUACUUGUGUGCAUAACUUACUCAAUCCUUGCUGCAUCGUUGAACAUCAAUUGAUAGUAUAAUAAGUUCUUAAGUCUUACAACUUACCUGAGCUUGCCAUUUAUGCUUUAAACUGAACUUUCAUGAACAUGAUUCGUUUACAAGCCCGUUGAGCUACAUUGGAAUAAUAAGGAUACUCGGGUCUCUUCUGAUAAUAACAUGCCAAAGCCAUGUCCCAGACAUGGUCUUACAUGGGAUAUUCUCGUGAUGGUGUCCAUGCCAUGUCCCAGACAUGGUCUUAUAGGGGACCUCUCAUCUCGGUGCCAACGCCAUGUCCCAGACAUGGUCUUACAUGGGACCUCUCGUCUCGGUGCCCAUGCCAUGUCCCAGACAUGGUCUUACAGGGGACCUCUCAUGAUCUUAAGGAUGCCAAUGCCAUGUCCCAGACAUGGUCUUACAUGGGAUCUCUUUACCCAAAUGUCAUGACAUUCGUAUCCAGUACCAUCUUUAUGUAUCAACGGGACUUUUAAAUUUUAAUUCUCUAUCAUUUCAUGCUUGGAUCAUCAUCAAAUAAAUUCAUAAAAUAAAUUCAUAAUUGCUGGAAAUUAACAGCAUUAAUAAUAAAUAUUGAAAUAUUGCAUUUAUUUACCGUAAACUUACCUCGGUACCAAUUAUAGCCAAAUUCACCAACUUAGUCUUCAACUUUAUUCUUCCCUUUGUCUAACCUCGAGUUUCGUACUUCUUGAUCUAAAAUAGUUAAUUUAACUUAUUUAAUAAUCACAUUCAUCAAAACAGCCCUCGACUCUAAAUUUUUUAAAAUUACAAUUUUGCCCCUAAAUUUUUACAUAAUUACAUUUUUGCCCCAAGGCUCGGAAAUUAAACUUCAUCUCUUAUUCUUAUGUUUUAUAACAUUCUGAACAUUUUUCCCUUCUAUGGCAACAUCAAAUUCCCACUCUAACAUGUACUUAUGAACAUUAGGUAUUUUUACCGAUUAUGUCGUUUUACUCGUUUUUACUUAAAAUCGCUUAGAAAAAGUUGUUUAACAUAAUUUCUAGCUUUAUAUUCUAUCAUAAAACAUCAAAAUAAACACUUUUCACCUAUGGGUAUUUUUCCAAAUAUAAACCCUAGGUUAAAUUAUUGCUAGAAUAAGCUAAAUUAAGCUACCGGGAUCUCAAAAACGUAAAGAACAUUAAAAACGGGGCUUGGGAUCACUUACUAUGGAGCUUGGAAGCUUGAAAACCCUAACUAUGGCUUACCCCCUUGCUGAUUUUGUUCAUAUGAAGAAGAAGAUGAUUUUUGCCAUCUUUUUCCCUUUUAAUUCAUUUUAAUUACUAGAUUACCAAAUUGCCCCUAACUUAAAAAUUUUCUAUUUCACUUAUCUCAUGUCCAUUUUUGUCUACCAAGUUACCAAUGGUAUAAUUACCAUAUAAAGACCUCCAAUUUAAAGUUUCAUAUCAAUUGGACACCUCUAACAUGUAGAACUCAACUUUUGCACUUUUUACAAUUUAGUCCUUUUGACUAAAUUGAGUGCCCAAACGUCGAAAUUUUCGAACGAAAUUUUCAAAAAAUCAUUUUGUGAAAUUGUAGACCAUAAAAAUAUAAGAAAAAUAAAUUUUUUCUCAUCGGAUUUGUGGUUCCGAAACCACUGUUCCGAUAACCUCAAAUUUGGGCCAUUACAACUCUCCCCCCCUUUUUUAGGAUUUUCGUCCUCGAAAAUCUUACCAGUAAAGAGAUUCGGGUAUUGCUUCCUCAUUGUCUCUUCCGGUUCCCAUGUUGCUUCCUCAAUCCCGUGCUUUUGCCAUAGCACUUUCACCAGAUUUACCUUUUUGUUUCUAAGCUCCUUUGUUUCUCGUGCUAAUACUUUAACCGGUUCUUCAUUAUAAGUCAUAUCCGGCUGAAUUUCUACUUCUGUUGGAGUAAUAACAUGUGAAGGAUCUGAUCGAUACCGUCGUAGCAUAGAUACAUAAAAUACAUUAUGAAUUUUGUCGAGUUCCGGUGGUAAAGCCAAUCGGUAAGCAACUGGUCCAAUUCUUUCUAUAAUCUCAUAUGGUCCGAUAAAUCUUGGACUCAAUUUACCCUUUCGACCAAACCGGAGAACUUUCUUCCAAGGAGAUACUUUUAAGAAUACUUUAUCACCCACCUGAAAUUCAAUCUCCCUUCGUUUAAGAUCGGCGUAUGACUUUUGACGAUCGGAAGCUGCUUUUAAACUAUCCCGAAUCAGUCUUACUUUUUCUUCUGUUUCCCGAAUCAAAUCAACUCCGUAUAUCUUCUUUUCACUGAGCUCUGUCCAAUAUAAUGGUGUUCUACAUUUUCUACCAUACAAAGCUUCAUACGGAGCCAUUUUAAUACUGGACUGAUAACUGUUAUUAUAAGCAAAUUCAAUCAAAGGUAGAUACCUUUUCCAAUUACCUUGAAACUCUAAUGCACAACAUCGGAGCAUAUCUUCCAAUACCUGAAUUACACGCUCAGAUUGGCCAUCUGUCUGAGGAUGAAAUGCAGUACUGAAAUACAACUGAGUGCCCAAAGCUUCUUGCAAUUUGUUCCAGAAACGAGACGUAAAUCGGGGAUCUCUGUCUGAUAUAAUGGAGACAGGCACUCCAUGUAGUCUAACAAUCUCAGAUAUAUACAAUCCAGCCAAUUUAUCUAAAGAAUAAUCCAUACAUACUGGGAUAAAGUGCGCGGACUUUGUCAAUCGGUCGACAAUUACCCAAAUGGCAUCUUUCUUCCUCGGAGAUAACGGUAACCCAGAUACAAAAUCCAUAGUGAUUCUUUCCCAUUUCCAUUCCGGUAUAGUGAUUGGCUGAAGCAACCCCGAAGGUACCUAAUGUUCAGCCUUAACCUGUUGACAUACUAAACAUCUUGAUACAAACUUAAAGAUAUCACGUUUCAUACCCGGCCACCAAUACAUCUUUUUCAAGUCAUUAUACAUUUUAUUACCUCCCGGAUGUACGGACAUAAUACCACUGUGUGCUUCGUGUAAAAUCUUCUGUACAAGUUCUGAAUUCUUCGGUACACAUACUCUGCCUCUGAAUAAUAAACAAUCAUCAGUUCCAAUCUGAAAUUCUGAAUCAUUACCUGACUCACAAUGCACUCGUUUAGCUUGUAAUUUUUCAUCAUUCCUCUGAGCUUCACAUAUUUGUUGACGAAAUGUCGAUUUAGCUCUCAAUUCAGCUAUGAUUGAACCAUCAUUAGACAGUGACAACCGGGUAUUCAUAGCUCGUAAAGCAAAUAAAGAUUUUCGGCUCAAAGCAUCAGCUACCACGUUAGCCUUACCCGGAUGGUAAUCAAUAACCAAAUCAUAAUCCUUUAUCAAUUCAAGCCACCUGCGUUGUCUCAAAUUCAAAUCUUUCUGUGUCAUCAAAUAUUUCAAGCUUUUGUGAUCAGUAUAAAUAUGACACUUUUCACCAUACAAAUAAUGCCGCCAUAUUUUCAAUGCAAAUACAAUAGCAGCUAACUCGAGAUCAUGUACCGGGUACUUUCUUUCAUGUGGCUUAAGUUGUCUUGAAGCAUAGGCUAUUACUUUAUCUUCUUGCAUCAAGACACAACCCAAACCAUUUAAUGAUGCAUCACUAUAAAUAAUAAAUUCCUUACCCGACUCAGGCUGUACCAACACAGGUGCUUUCGUUAACAACUCCUUCAAUCGGUCGAAACUUUGCUGGCAUUUUUCUGUCCAUUCAAAUUUAACAUCUUUCUGUAAUAAACGGGUCAUUGGAGAAGCUAUCAUAGAAAACCCUUGUACAAAUCUCCGAUAAUAACCAGCUAAACCCAAGAAACUUCUAACUUCAGAUACAUUCUUCGGUGGACUCCAAUUGACAAUAGCUGAAAUUUUACUCGGAUCUACCCUGAUGCCUUCUGCGGAUACAAUAUGUCCGAGAAAACCUACCUCUCGAAGCCAAAAUUCACAUUUACUGAAUUUAGCAUAAAGUUUCUUUUUACGCAGAAUUUACAACACUAUUUUCAAAUGUUCUGCAUGCUCAGUUUCAUCCCGAGAAUAAACUAAAAUGUCAUUAAUAAAAACUACUACAAACCUAUCUAGAUACGGUCUGAAUAUCCGGUUCAUCAAAUCCAUGAAUACUGCAGGUGCAUUAGUCAACCCAAACGGCAUAACCAGAAACUCAUAAUGCUCAUACCUGGUUCUGAAAGCUGUCUUUGGCACAUCUGGCUCUUUUACCCGUAACUGAUAAUAACCCGAUCGGAGAUCAAUCUUUGAAAAUACUGUGGCACCUUUCAGUUGAUCAAAUAAGUCAUCAAUUCGAGGCAAUGGGUACUUAUUCUUUAUAGUUACCUUAUUAAGCUGCCGAUAGUCAAUACACAAUCUCAAAGACUCGUCUUUCUUUUUCACAAACAGAACUGGAGCACCCCAAGGUGAAUGAUUCGGACGAACAAAACCUCUGUCAACAAGUUCCUGUAACUGUGCCUUUAACUCUUUUAAUUCUGUAGGAGCUAUACGAUACGGAGCUAUGGAAAUUGGGGCAGUUCCCGGAAUCAGAUCUAUAGAAAAUUCCACUUCUCUUUCUGGUGGCAACCCUGGUAACUCCUCUGGAAAUACAUCAGAAAAUUCACAUACAACUGGCACUACCUGUAUCUUUGACUCAGAUACCUUAGUAUCCAACACAUACGCCAAAUAAACAUCAUACCCUUUUCUAACACACCUUUGAGCUGUCAUAACUGAAAUCAUAUCGGAUAAUCCCUCUGUCUGAUUAGAUUUAACCCAAAGUAAUUCUCCAUUCUGGCAUUUCAACACAACAUAUUUUUGUCUACAGUUUACUACUGCAUCAUGCUGAGUUAACCAAUCCAUGCCCAAUAUCACAUCAAACUCAUCAAAAGGCAAUAACAUCAAGUCAACCGGGAAACAAAUACCUUUUACCAUCAGUGGACAAUUUUUACAAACUUUAUCCACUAUCACAAACUGGCCCAGGGGGUUCGAGACUUUAACCAUAAAUUCAGUAGGUUCAACAGACAAAUUUUUAACAAAUGCUAAUUUUGUGCAUAUAUAUGAAUGUGUAGAGCCAGGAUCAAUUAAUGCAAUAACAGUAGUAUCAUAGAGAGAAAAUGUACCCGCAAUUACAUCAGGAGAGGACGCCUCUUCACGAGCUCGAAUAGCAUAUGAUCUUGCAGGUGCUCUAACAUCUGAUCUAACCGCUGAAUCUUUGAAUGCACCCCUAUUACUUGCCCCCACUUCUGGGUUUCUCUGCGGUCUACCUCUGGUAGGAGCAUUACCUGAUCUCGCACUCGUUAUUUCUUCUCUUUUAGUUGUUUUAGGACAAUCCCGAAUAAAGUGAUCGGAUGCUCCACAUCUGAAACAAACAUUUUCACCUGCUCUACACUCUCCGGGGUGGCGUCUCCCACAUUGAGGACAUUCCGGUCUAAGAGGUCGAGUACUGCCAGUACUUGCAACUGUAGUGGUUUGAGCUCUAAAACCCUCGAAUCUUCUACUUCUGCUUCGGCCAGAAUAUAUAUGUGGAAAAUGUGAUCCGCUAGAGAGCUCCCUAGGCCUCUUAGAUGUAGACUGAAAUGAUUUACUCAUUUGCCUCUUCUUUGUAUCCUGCGCUCCAGCUUCAGCUUUGCUCUUCUCUUUUUCUUUUAACAAGUCUUCUACUUUACAAGCUCUUUCUACCAGAACAACAAACUCUCUGAUUUCCAAUACACCCACUGAUAGUCGGAUGUCAUCAUUAAGCCCAUCUUCAAAUCUCUUGCACAUGUUGGCUUCGGUGGAUACAAAUUCCCGAGCAUACUUACUAAGUCUGACAAAUUCGCGUUCAUAUUCAGUCACGGACAUCUUACCUUGUUUUAGCUCAAGAAACUCCUUCCUUUUCUGCUCUGUAAAUCUCUGGCUGAUGUACUUCUUUCGAAACUCCUCCUGAAAGAAAUCCCAAGUAACCCUCUCACUCGAUACGAUAGACACGAGAGUCUUCCACCAAUGAUAAGCGGAAUCUCUGAGAAGUGAGACCACACACUUCAUACAUUCUUCCGGUGUACAAGAUAAUUCUUCAAAAACCCUGAUGGUAUUCUCAAGCCAGAAUUUUGCUUUUUCUGCAUCGUCAUCUUUGGUAGCCCAAAAUUCUUCAGCCCCUUGCUUCCUAAUCUUAUCAACAGGUGGUCUCUCCCUGAUAAAUAUACCUGCAGCUGGGGAAGCUACAUGGGGAACCUGUGAAUCUUGAGGGGGUGGAGGUCUUACAGCCGGAUUCGUACGAACGAACUCGGCAAACCAAUCAGUCAUGGCUUGGAAGAAGGCUUCUCUAGCUCCUCCUCCCUGUCUAUCUGAUGCAGGUCUUUCACUAACAUUAACAUCUGAUGGCACCGUCCCUUCUGCGGGAAUAGGCGCAUUACUCUCUACUUCAUCUGUACUAGCUCGUUCAGGAUCCAUAACUAUAAAAGAAAACAUUUUAAAAUCGUCAGGAGUCGUCACACUAUCAAAAUAUAUAAGUAUGGCAUGUAUAGGUAGACUCUUAUUCUUACUGAGUAUUUCCGAGAAUAGACUAAACCUGGCUCUGAUACCAAUAAAAUGUAACACCCCUUACCCGAGACCGUUUCUGGAGUCGAGCACGAGGCAGUACUUAGCUUAUCUUACCAAUUCGGAGCAUAAAAACUAGGUUUGAAAAUUUAUUUCAUUAUUCGCAGUAAAUCUGUCCAAUCGCGCAGCAGUUACUAAAUUAAUUAUAACUUGAGCUACAGAACUCGAAAUUUAAUUCCGUAAAUUUUUCCUGAAACUAGACUCAUAUAUCUACUCACCAUAAAAUUUUUAGAAUUUUUGGUUUAGCAAAUUAGUACAGUUUAUUAGUUAAAGUCUCCCCUGUUUCACCACCUGACUGCCCUGACCUCUAGUCACUAAAAAUAAGUUUUCUCACUGUAGGAUUUUCAUAUGAAGUUCUUACUUGUUUCUACAGAAAAUAUACUCAUUAAGGAAUCUAAGCAUGUAAAUUUAAACUCAUAACCAUUUUUGUACAAUUUGUAAUUAUUUUCUAAACUCAGAACAGGGGACUCCAAAAAUAGUUCUGACCCUAUCUUACUAAAAUUCACAUAUCUUAAAAUAUAAAUUUCCUUUUUCUACACCGUUAUUUUUCCAUGAAAAUAGACUCAACAAGCUUUAAUUCCAUAUAUCAUUCACCCUCUAAUUCAUUUUAUACUAUCUUUGGUGAUUUUUCAAAUUCACGUCACUGUGCUGCCUGAAUUCUGUUUCUUUGCAAAUUUUUAUCCUUUCAUGAUUUCCAUGCAUAAUUUAUCACCUAAUCUUUCAUAACAACAAACACCUUCAUCCUUAAUCAUUUUAAUAACCAUACAUCAUCAAAUACUUACACAUCACUCAUUAGCAAAAUCAUCAUUACAAACAUACAAAAUAACUAAAUCCCUAUACAUGCCAUAACUCAAACGUGUUUCGAUAUAAAAUACCGAGCAGUUGUAGUUGAUAGUGUGGACGAUCUCCGACUUCUUUAGGAUCCUUGAAGUAGCUUUGCAAUACUAUAAGAGAAAGAGAAAUAAAAGAAGUAAGCAUAAAGCUUAGUAAGUUUACUAGCAAAUAAAUAACAAUAUUUAACUUAAAUAAUUAAACUCAAUGUCUAUAUCUCUAGUUUACUCUUUAGUUAAUCUCAUACUAGUUCUCUUACUUGUUUACUUAGAAUACUUGUGUGCAUAACUUACUCAAUCCUUGCUGCAUCGUUGAACAUCAAUUGAUAGUAUAAUAAGUUCUUAAGUCUUACAACUUACCUGAGCUUGCCAUUUAUGCUUUAAACUGAACUUUCAUGAACAUGAUUCGUUUACAAGCCCGUUGAGCUACAUUGGAAUAAUAAGGAUACUCGGGUCUCUUCUGAUAAUAACAUGCCAAAGCCAUGUCCCAGACAUGGUCUUACAUGGGAUGUUCUCGUGAUGGUGCCCAUGCCAUGUCCCAGACAUGGUCUUAUAGGGGACCUCUCAUCUCGGUGCCAACGCCAUGUCCCAGACAUGGUCUUACAUGGGACCUCUCGUCUCGGUGCCCAUGCCAUGUCCCAGACAUGGUCUUACAGGGGACCUCUCAUGAUCUUAAGGAUGCCAAUGCCAUGUCCCAGACAUGGUCUUACAUGGGAUCUCUUUACCCAAAUGUCAUGACAUUCGUAUCCAGUACAAUCCUUAUGUAUCAACGGGACUUUUAAAUUUUAAUUCUCUAUCAUUUCAUGCUUGGAUCAUCAUCAAAUAAAUUCAUAAAAUAAAUUCAUAAUUGCUGGAAAUUAACAGCAUUAAUAAUAAAUAUUGAAAUAUUGCAUUUAUUUACCGUAAACUUACCUCGGUACCAAUUAUAGCCAAAUUCACCAACUUAGUCUUCAACUUUAUUCUUCCCUUUGUCUAACCUCGAGUUUCGUACUUCUUGAUCUAAAAUAGUUAAUUUAACUUAUUUAAUAAUCACAUUCAUCAAAACAGCCCUCGACUCUAAAUUUUUCAAAAUUACAAUUUUGCCCCUAAACUUUUACAUAAUUACAUUUUUGCCCCAAGGCUCGGAAAUUAAACUUCAUCUCUUAUUCUUAUGUUUUAUAACAUUCUGAACAUUUUUCCCUUCUAUGGCAACAUCAAAUUCCCACUCUAACAUGUACUUAUGAACAUUAGGUAUUUUUACCGAUUAUGUCGUUUUACUCGUUUUCACUUAAAAUCGCUUAGCAAAAGUUGUUUAACAUAAUUUCUAGCUUCAUGUUCUAUCAUAAAACAUCAAAAUAAACACUUUUCACCUAUGGGUAUUUUUCCAAAUAUAAACCCUAGGUUAAAUUAUUGCUAGAAUAAGCUAAAUUAAGCUACCGGGAUCUCAAAAACGUAAAGAACAUUAAAAACGGGGCUUGGGAUCACUUACUAUGGAGCUUGGAAGCUUGAAAACCCUAACUAUGGCUUCCCCCCUUGCUGAUUUCGUUCAUAUGAAGAAGAUGAUGAUUUUUGCCAUCUUUUUCCCUUUUAAUUCAUUUUAAUUACUAGAUUACCAAAUUGCCCCUAACUUAAAAAUUUUCUAUUUCACUUAUCUCAUGUCCAUUUUUGUCUACCAAGUUACCAAUGGUAUAAUUACCAUAUAAAGACCUCCAAUUUAAAGUUUCAUAUCAAUUGGACACCUCUAACAUGUAGAACUCAACUUUUGCACUUUUUACAAUUUAGUCCUUUUGACUAAAUUGAGUGCCCAAACGUCGAAAUUUUCGAACGAAAUUUUCAAAAAAUCAUUUUGUGAAAUUUUAGACCAUAAAAAUAUAAGAAAAAUAAAUUUUUUCUCAUCGGAUUUGUGGUUCCGAAACCACUGUUCCGAUAACCUCAAAUUUGGGCCAUUACAGGAAGGGUGUAAUGCAAAGUUUUAACAGCCCGGAUGGAUUGGCGAUCUGGGGGUGACCCCUAUGUUGUCUCUAUCCUGUUUCUUCUCCUACUGCCUAGUUUGAAGUUUGGUUCAAUGGGAAAACUCCCACUUGCAGUGUAUGAAUAUUUUCCCUUUUGCGUUCAAAUAUUGAAGAGAUUUAUUUUUGCUCCUCCACCCACUUGAAUGCAUUUCCAGACUCCCUACAUCAAAAGUAUCAAGGCUUUUGCUUAAUUACUCUGUUUUUCCUCUCUUCAAUUAAGUAAUUACUUUGGCUGAAGAUAAAAAUGGCCAUAGGAGGUAGCUACUACACUUUUCUUUGAAAUACAUGCUGAACAAGAUCUGCAACGCAUGAUCAAAGACAUCUUUUAAAAAAAUAAUCUAACCAUGGAAUGAUACACUUUACCAUAUUCCAUUUUUUUUUCUCACUAGUGAAUUAUUUUGAAAGAUUUUAACUCGU
rnacentral:lncRNA from 1 species